rnacentral:lncRNA from 1 species
CUUUCAAGACCUUUAAGACUCCCACUGUCCUCUUGACAUAUAAGACUCCCUUGUCAAACAUCCAAGAGAUAGUGCGGAUUCUAAUCAAGAAAAACACUUUACCCAAUUGGCCUAAGUUGGUCUUUGUUUUAUCCAAAACAUCACAACUUACCAAUUUCAAAUGUACAAGAGUAGAAAACUUUUACUCUUACAUUUGACAAGUGUUUUAAACCUUCUUUAAGACAUGUCACUCAAAUGACAAUCUUGGAGUAUGACUCUAAGACUUGUAUUGGAACGAAGUAUGACUCAUCUUCUUGAUUUAACCAUUUCAACAAUUCAAGUUCCUCUUCUUAGUCAUAAGAAUGCACUAAGAUUUCCUUAGAGAACUAAUUUUGAUAUGGUUUCUUAAUCAUUAAGAUGAUCACAAAACUGAUACUAAAGUACUCUCCCAUCUUUUCAGAUUUGAGAAACUUUUAUCCUUCUGCCUUAUUUGAUUCUUCUUAUUCGCCCUGCCAUACAUUGGAACCUUUUCCAAUGUCUCAGAGUUACACUUAAGCUUGUAAGUAUAAUCAUAUUUACUGAGCUUUAGUAAACUAUGACGAAUAGUCUUAUCAAUCUUUUGUGGUGGACUUAAUCAGUGCACAAGAAUGUGUACUCGAUCCCUUAGUCCUUUACUUGACUCACACAUCCAUGUGGCCGAGUAAUUAGUCUUAAUUUUCCAAAACUUGAAAGUUCUCAUUCAUCAUGCUAUACAACUUGCAUGAUUCCAAGUUCCGGUCCAAUUGAAACUUGGGUGAUGAGAAUCUUUCCUUAUUUGGUAAAUCUAGACAUUACCACAAAUGAAAGAAUCAAUUUCAUAUUUCCACUCUUGCUCUUAAUGGAAUCAUAUAAGCAACAAUUUUUCCUCAAAAGCCAUUGUAAGGAUAUUUUAAAAUAAAUAAAAUCAAAAAAAUUUUCUUUUAUUUUAAAACUUUGCGGAAAAACUUAUCCUUACAAUCCAUAUGAAAACUUGUUGUUAUCUAUUCCUAAGCAAUAUCUCAUAACUCCUAAGAAGUUGCUCAAGAAUCCGAUCUUCAAACUAUGCGAUAGAAAUCCAUCUACGCCAUCAGAUUCAGCAUAUUCUUUCUUUAAGUUUCUUCACUUUUCUUUGAUUCUUAAAACAUCACCAUGUGACCCAGUCACAUCAUGUAUCAGGAAUCUCAGAAUAGAAACUUAACAGAGUUAGAUAGUGGUCUUUACCUGAAGUAGAGUCAAACUUAUUGACUUUAACAUCCUUAGGUAAAUUUGGCAGCUUCGCAACCAAUGCCCCUUCCCUUGGCAAUAUAAACAUAUGGACCCUUUGAUAAUGGUACACGAGACUAUCACAGACUUAGCUUUUCUCUUUACCAUUUGGUCAACCGAGUUGACUAUGGCCGAUCCCUUUCCAUUGGGAAGAGAAUGCUUUACUGGAUAUCCAAUGUCAUCAUUGUCAAUGUCCAUAAAGUUUUAGGAAGUUGAUCUUAGCAAAUAGAUAAGAUCAUUAAGGGUCUUGUCAUAGUCUGUUUCAUAGGUGUCCCAAAGGAACUCACUAUGUGACUUAGAAAGUGAUUGAACCACCAACUUUCUCAAGACUUUGACACCCAACUCUCCCGGCUUGUCAAUAUGUGACUACAUCUCCAAGAUGUGAUCACACCUAGACCUUGCCUUGCCAAUAGGGCUUGAGUGACCUUAAACUUUUCAAGAACUUGUGGGUUAGGGAGAAUAAUUGGAGGAGGUGAAAGAAGUAUGAUUUCCAAAGGACAUCAUCUUCAUUUAGGAAACCUUGUUUCACUAGAUUUGGGAAGAUCAUAGGUGUCUAUUACAGACAUCUUUUGGGAGAUAUUCAAGAUAGUUGAUUUAAAGUCCUUAAUAUGACACCCAAUAUGAAAUAUUAAGGCUAGGACCCAACAAACUAUUUUAUAACUUAGAAGAGGUAUGCCGUAAUCCAAGCUAUAAAAUAUUUGAAGGUAGGUGAAUGACGAUUCACCAAUUUCCACCAAGAUAAACGAAAUGUAUUAUUAGGUUUUAAUUGGUUUUGAAACUCCUAGAUCUUUGAGAUUCAUUGAACUUUUCAAAGGCAUGUUUCAAUCUCGAGUGUGCCCUUCAGGUUUUGUGACUGGGAUGCCGAGGAUCACAAAACAAGGUGUGAAGUAACCAUGCAAAUCACUUGGUACCCUUAAUAAAUUACCCCUCAAUCGAUGUGCCGGUUAACCACACACGCUCCAUCGAUACUAUGAUAAAUAUUAAGUCACCCUUUACCUACCUUGUUAAGUCCAAGUUAGUGUGCCGGUUAACCACACACGCUCCACUAACGACUUAGACAAAGUGUAAAGUGUAAUUUCAUGGAUUAGCACCUUAUUCACAUUUUUCCUAAGUAACUAAGAUUGGGUAUUAUUAAGAGUUUAGUUACUUAGUAUUAUCAUUAAUACUUUUAAUGAAGGGAGAAUUCUAGUCCUGUCAAACCCGUUCGGCUAACGACCCUCCACCAGUCAAGCAAGCGGUGGGUGAGAGUGGACACCCAUUAAGUUGCCAUUUUAUAGGCAACAACCUUAUACCCACCUUAUAGACCGGCUUCGUGAAUGAGGCGUACUAGCGGUAAGACUGACUUUACUCUUAUACAUAUAUAUAUUAUUAACUUAUAAUAUUAUAAAGUAUAAGGGUUGAAUUUUAACUUUUAAAAUUCUAAGGGCUAACUUGGAAUUAAAGUAUUCAUAAGUGAAAACUUUACAAAUUCCAAAACUUGAGGGCAAGUUUUGAAACUAUUCAAAACUAAUUAAUUCCAUAACUUAUGUGUUUAAAGUAGUUUUAAUCCAAAAACUCUUCAAGUUCCAUAACUUGAGGACAAGUUAUGGAAGACUUUAAACUAAUAAAAGAAUUAACUUUUCUUUAUUUUAUAACUUAUGGAAUUAAUUAAGGUUACACUUUUUUUUUUUUUAUUUUAUUUUAUUAAAUGAAGAGACUCUUGGUCCUCCAUAACUUGAGGACAAGUUAUGGAGUCAUAAAACCAUUUAAUUAGAACUAGACUCUUCAUUUUUGUAACCUUUGCCAAUUUUUAUGAGUUUUAUGAUUCUUAAAUGUGACUUUUCAUAUAACUUGAGGACAAGUUACAAAAACACAUUUUAGAAUCAAUUCUUAGAUUAAUUUGGAUUAAAACCAACUAUCACAUAAUUUUAUUCAUUAAUCUAAAUUCACUCAUAAAACAAGGUAACACAAAAAACUUUUGGUGAUCCAUAACUUAUUCUUAAGUUAUGGAAUCCUUUAAAACAUUAACACCAAAUUUUGUAACUCCAAAAAAACUUUGAAUCAAUUUUUUUUUUAAAACCUUUUCAUAUCCAUAACUUAUGGAGGUUUCAAAAAAUAAAACUCUUUAGAUCAAACUUUUAAAACUAAUAAAAUAAUCAUAUUAUUUUAUCUUUUAUUAAAUUUGACCUAAUUCAACUCAUAAAGCAAAUUAUUCAAAUUUUACAAAUAAUUAGUUUUUCACAAGAACAAGUAAUUAUCUUAAAAUUUGACAAACUUCAUGUUUUUUUUUUUUUUUUUUUUCAACUUUGAAAAUAAAAUAUUUGCAUCAAUAUAACAGAAAACAACCCGUGGCUCUGAUACCACUGUUGGGUUUUGAGCAUUCUAACACUCCUAUGGUGUACAUGCAACCCUAUAAACCUUGGAUCUAUGUUUUCUCUAUAAUACAUGCAAAUAAGAACUUUCCAAGGCUUUAAUCCUAACUAGCAUAUUAUGAAGUUCUUAUACUACAAAGUACUAGUUAGAUGACAUACCUUUUGAUGUAGCUUGAUGUCUUCAAGCUUUAAGAGCUUAGCCCCAAUAGUGUGGAAGCCUCAAAUGGAAUCACAAAUCACCAAAACACCUUGGAAGACUUUAGAGAAUAUGGAUACUUGGUUCUCUCUAGUGAAAUUGGCUAGCCCUUCUUAGUGUACCACACUAGUGCCCAUUUCACCAACCAAGGACAUCUUUAUAUAGUAUGGAGGAUUAGGGUUAAACCCUAAUACCCAUGACCUAUCAUUUCCUAGGAUCCAUGGGUUAAACACUCCAUGGACUAUCCAUGAAAGCUUAGCCCAACCUAAAUGAACUUGGCCCAUUCCAUAUAUAUAAGAGUCCAUAUUUAAUUAGUUCCUUUUGAUCACUUAAUUAAUUAUAAAUUAAUUCUUGAUCAAUACUAAUUAAAUAAUAUGAUUCCAUAUUAAUAUAUUAGAACCUAUAAUAUAUUAAUAUUAAUCAUAAAGAUACUAUUCUCAAAAGAUUAUCCAUAUAAAUUGUGUCGGUGAAGUGCAACCCAAAUGGACCAUGCCGGGUCGGGUCAAGUACAUACCAAAUAUAGUUAUGGACUUAGACAUUAAUCCAACAAUAGCAUGCUUGGGACUCGAAGAGUUGUUCUUCAGAGUCGACGAGUUGUUCAUACAACUCGGCGAGUCACAGACUGGAUGUGUUCUUAUGUUGAAGGAGAACUCGACGAGUUGUUCAUACAACUUGGCGAGUCGGAUGAAGUUAGACUCGAUGUUAGCAUUGAGGGAGAACUGGUCGAGUCUUUGCCAAACUCGACGAGUAGAAGCGGGUAGAGGAAUAUAAUGGAUGAUAGGGACUUGGAGAGUUGACGGCCCAACUCGGCGAGGCCGGUCAAUAGGAAGUUGACUUUGACCAGGAAGUUGACUUUGACUUGCCUAGGGGUAAAUAGUCAUUCGCCCAAUUUAACAUAAUGGAAUUGAUUUGAGUCCAUUAAAGCUAAUUGAAUUUGUAUGGCCCAAUAAGGCCCAUUAUAGGUAAACUAAUCCAUUUUAGACCCAUUAUGGCCUAAAAUGUUAAGUUUCAUGCAAGUGGGUUCAAUUAGGGUCCAUAUAAGGGUCCUAAGCCCAAAAUAGUCAAAUUGGAAGCUUAUUGGUCCAUUAGGCCCAAUAAGGAAAUCCUAUUCCAUAAUGGACUUAAACCAUGAUUUUUAGGGUUUCCAUUCUUUUGUCAACCAUUUGAAGUGUUUGUAUAGAGUGUUUGAUGGAAAUUUUGUUGUCAUCGAAUAAGCAUCAUUAAUGCUUUCAAGUUUUAGUACAAUGUUAGGCUUGUUAAGUAUUUACAAAGCAUCAGAAUUCCUAGAAGCUCUAGAAGCUCAGAUCUAUGUUGGAAACUUUACAUAUAAAACCAGUCCUAGAAGCUCAGAUCUAUGUUUUGGAAGCACUGAAAUCGAUUAGAAUCAACUGUAUAGUAAUAGCAUCCUUGGGACUCGACGGAUUGUUCUUUAAGUCGACGAGUUGUUCAUCAGAAUUGACGAGUUUUUCAUACAACUCGGUGAGUCACAGACUAUACGUGUUCUUAUGUUGAAGGAGAACUCGACGAGUUGUUCAUACAACUCGAUUGAAGUUAGACCCGAUGUUAGCAUCGAGGGAGAACUUGUCGAGUCUUUGCCAAACUUGACGAGUAGAAGCGGGUAGAGGGCUAGAAUGGAUGAUAGAGACUCGGCGAGUUGAUGUCCCAAAUCGGCGACUCCGGUCAACAGGAAGUUGACUUUGACUAGGAAGUUGACUUUGACUUGCCCAGGGUUAAAUAGUCAUUCUACCCUGAGAUUAGUAUCAGUAUUUGAUUUAGUGUUUAUGGGAUUUGUAGCCUAGGAGUUUCGGAGUAGCGGUCAGGUAGUUUCAAAUUUAACAUCUCGGUAGCCAGCGUUACGAGGUGAGUUUCCUUCCAGUAGGAACGGGUCUACGGCCACAAUGCUGACCCGUCUAGUUAGCAGUAGAUCCGGAAUUUGGUCCAAUGCAGUAGUUCAGUGUGCAUGAUGUCUUUGUGAUUCAAGCAUGUCUUUGUGCUAUGUGUUCCGGACUUCAGUCCGAUGUAGUAUGCAGUAUAUGUGCUUAUGCUAGUUGAUAUGUUUAUGCUAUCUUAUGCUCAGUCAUUUUCCGUACUUCGGUUCGAUGCAGGGGACACGGUCCCGGUCAGUUCCGGAUUUUGGUCCGAUGCAGUUAGUUCUGGACUUCGGUCCGAUGCAGGGGACACACUCCCAGUUAGUUCCAGACUUUGGUCUGAUGCAGAGGGCAAGGCCCUAGUUAGUUCCGGACUUCGGUCCGAUGCAGUUUUUGGACUUCGGUCCGAUGCAGUUUCCGGACUUCGGUCCGAGGCAGUGGGCAAGGCCCAAUAGUUGCUUGUGUGUUAUUGUAUGGUAUGUGGUAGUUUGGGGGAGCUCACUAAGCUUCGUGCUUACAGUUUCAGUGUUGGUUUCAGGUACUUCCACUAGCAAAGGGAAGAGCUCGUGUUGAUGGCAUCGCACACACCACAGCUUCAGUUUAUCCUGGGCGUUUAUUUCAGAUAUUGUUAUGAUUGAUAUAGUUUUGUUUUGACACAGUACUAUGACAUUUGAGCUACUCAUUCCAUGAUUUUAUUAUAUAUAUAUAUAUAUAUAUAUAUAUAUAUAUAUGAUAUUCGAGGAUUUGAUUUUUAGUAAUAUUAAAAUAAUUUUUUUUGGGUCGUUUCAAGUUGGUAUCAGAGCCUUGGUUUGAGGGAUUCAGGCAUACUUCCGAGUGCGUCUGAACUAAAACUAAGGAAAUGGUGAAAGAUUUUUAAAAGAGAAACGUUUUUGAAAAGAAAUUUUGAAAAGAAAUUAGAAAGGAAAAUAGUUUUCUUAAAAAGGGGUGUGGUGCAUGCGAUCAACCAAGAUCAAGUAAGUACUCCCAAAUUACCCAUACAAGCUUUUGUUAUGAUUAUCAGUUUCAGUUUCAUUAGAAAAGCAUGUUAGGAUAGGACUAAGGAUCUAGGAGGAUGCCUUAUGUGCCUUCUAUAUGUGUUUCAGCUUUAUGAGAAUUGCAUGCUAGUAUUGAGUAGACAGCAAGAGGAUAGCCUAGUUAGGUUAUGCUUGAUAGUAUGAGCUUAGCAUUGUAUGCUAGUGCAGAUUAGGCAGAAUGAUAGCCAGAGUGGUAUAUGCUUGAUUAUGUACUCAAUGCCCGAAAGCUGCUUGCUUGUGCUUUUAGGAGUUCUAGUUGUCUUUCACUAACUAGUAAACGAAUGUGUUAUGUUACAUAUUGCAAGGACUAAAUAAUUUUAGAAGGUUAGGUCUAGCUCUAUUUCGCAGCUCUUUUUUGAGUCCAACCGUUAUAGGGUAGGAUCCCACAUUCGAAGAAUUAUCUAGUCUGAGUGACAUGUAAUAGUACUCGCGAGCUAGUUUGGGGAAGAAAGUGGGGACUUCUUAUGCAGCUGAUGACGGAGAGUGGGUUGGUGAUCACCCUAGGGCUAGCCUAGGAUGAUAUUAGUAUGAGAUCAGUAGUAGUAGUAGUAGAAGGGACUUGGUGGAGUCGAGGCAGUUCUUGGGGAAGGUACAGAUAGAUGUGGAAGGUAGUUAGGCCAUACUACUGAAAGCAGAGGAUCUGUACUUGAAUGAAGGAAGGCCAAGGAGAAACCAGGAAACUUGUAGUAAUAGUGAUCCCUUGAGAUAUAUCAGUAUUUCUGAUGUUGUCGUUAUGUGUUUCAGAAUGGUGGUUUUACACCCUAGACCAAUAAUCGGCAAUUCAGGUGUCGGGGAGGGAUCAGAACUAGGGUCGGGAGCCGAGCAUUUGGAUGAUCAGACCAGGGAGUUCCUCUCUUCAGAGAUUACUCGCAUCAUACUCGAGCAGACUCCUGUGAUCUUUGGUUCGAUCAAGGAGGGUAUUUCGGAGCUGAUGGAUGAGAGGUUGAGCACCUUUCGUGCUGAGGUGGCGACCAUGAUGGGGUCGCGCACGCUCACUUUCAGGGAGUUUAGAGCCUGUGGAGCUCCUAACUAUCAUGGGGCUCGGGACCCCAUAUCGAGUACCAGGUGGUUAUUGGAUGUCGCCAAUGCUUUCCGCACCAGCAGAUGUCCUGAGAGGGAAAAGGUCAGACUAGCAUCUUGUCUUCUUAAGGACAGGGCACAAGAUUGGUGGGAGGAGAUUGGACAUGUCAUUGGGGAUGACGCAACUCUUGAUGCGACGACUUGGGCUGAUUUUACUACCAGGUUCAGAGCCGAGUUUGCAGUGGUUAUUGAGGUGCAACAGUUAGCCAGAGAGUUUCAAGAUCUUACUCAGACUACAGAGACAGUGGCAGAGAUUACCACCAAGUUUAGGGAGAGGGCUCUUCUCGUUCCUCAGUACGCAUCUGAUGAGGAAAUGAAGAAGGCCCGUUAUCAUGAGAUGUUGCGAAGUGAUAUCCGCCAGUUUGUGAGCCGGUCCAGCUAUAAAAUGCAGGAUGACAUGAUUGCUAGGGCUCGUGAGAGAGAGAGAGAUUGAUCUAGAAAUGGAGAAGAAAAGGAAGCCAGAGGCGGUAUCUAGCACUAGGAGUUCGAGCAAAAACCCCAAGGUAUCAGAUCACAGAUCUAGAGGUCAGCGGAGCCACGGUCGGUGUGGCAAGUGUGGGAGAUUACAUGAUGGGGCGUGCAAGGCAGGGAGUCCCGGUUGCUACAAGUGCGGCCGGACCGUGCAUAUGAGUAGAUACCUUGGUAUCUGAUCUGAUUUGCUUCCAUUGCAAUCAGAGGGGACAUAAAAAGUCUCAGUGUCCAAGUUUGCCAGCAGCAGCAGCAGCAGGGAAGGUGGCAGCACCUGCCCCCUACAACAUUGAGGAUUACGGAUGGCCGUCAAGGCCGAAGUGAGGCGUCAGUGGCGAAGAGUAGAGCUUUUCAGAUGAGAGUAGAGGAGGCGCGAGCGACUCCUGAUGUGGUGACGGGUAUGUAUCUUCCCUUCAUCUUUUUAUUAAUGUUGAUUGUUUCUUAUGGUUAUAUGUUUUUAUAUAGGGUCGUUCUUAGUGAACGACAUAUCAGCUACAGUGUUGUUUGAUUCGGGGGCUACCCGAUCAUUUGUUUCACUUGCGCUUAGCAAGAGGUUUAGUAGUGCUCCGAGGGAGCUGGAUUGUCCACUUAAGGUUGAGAUAGCUGAUAACAGGACCGUCAGGAUCGUGAGAGUACAUAGGGCUUGUUCGCUGCAGCUAUUUGAUGAGCAGUUUUUAGUGGGUUUGGUUCCUAUUCCCUUGCGAGGGAAUAAGGUUAUAGUGGGUAUGGAUUGGCUGAGCCCCAAUGGGGCAGUGAUUGAUUGUGAGCUAUAUUUAGUGAGGGUCCGCACCCCUAGUGUGGGGAGAGUUAGUGAUUCAGGGCGACAGGCCACAACGCGGACCGAUUCUUUGCUCGACAGUGAGAGCUCGACGCUACUUCCAACAGGGUUGCGCGGGGUACGUCGCCUAUGUUUUGGAUGCCCGGGAGAAGGGCAAGGCGACCGUUGACGAUGUAACGGUAGUGCGAGACUACCCGGAUGUAUUCCCGGAGGAUUUGCCUGGGAUACCUCCAGAGAGACAGGUUGAGUUUCGGAUUGACCUGGUUCUGGGUGCGGCUCCAAUAGUCAAGGCGCCGUAUCAGUUUGCUCCUCCAGAGAUGCAGGAGUUGUCUACGCAGCUGCAGGAGCUGCUAGACAAGGUUUUCAUCAAACUGAGCAGUUCACCAUGGGGAGCCCUGAUCCUGUUUGUAAAGAAGAAGGAUGGGUCGCACUGUAUGUGUAUAGAUUACCGGGAGUUGAAGAAGGUAACGGUGAAGAACCGUUACCCACUCCCGAGGAUACAUGACUUGUUCGAUCAGCUUUAGGGAACAUCUUGGUUUUCCAAGAUUGAUCUACGCUCCAGUUAUCAUUAGAUGUGGGUCAGAGGUGAGGAUGUUCAGAAGACAACUUUUAGGAUCCGUUAUGGUCAUUAUGAGUUUGUGGUGAUGCCGUUUGGGCUCACCAACACUCCAGCCGCAUUCAUGGAUCUCUAGAACCGCGUAUGCAGGCCGAUGCUGGAUCGGUCUGUGAUAGUGUUCAUUGACGAUAUCUUGCUUUAUUCCAAGACUCAGGAGGAGCAUGAGGAGCACUUGGGGGAGGUGCUAGAGACUUUGGGGAGGGAGAGACGUUUCACGAAGUUCUCCAAGUGCGAGUUUUGGUUGCGCGAGGUGCAAUACCUUGGAUACCUCGUUAACCAGAAGGGGAUAUUGGUGGAUCCGGCCAAGAUUGAGACCGUGAUGCAGUGGGAGGUCCCGAGGUCUCCAUCUGAGAUUCGGAGCUUCCUAGGGUUGACAUGGUACUACAGGAGAUUCAUCCAGGAUUUCUCCAAGAUAGCAGUUCCACUUACCCGACUGACUAGGAAGUCGGUGGUGUUUCGAUGGGGGCCUGAGCAGUAGGCACCUUUCAAGACCCUCAGCCAACGAUUAUGCGAGGCAUCGAUUCUCACCUUGCCAUAGGGAGUGGAUGAUUUUGUAGUCUAUUGUGAUGCUUCGAUCACAGGGAUGGGAGCAGUGUUGAUGUAGAGAGGGCAUGUGAUAGCUUAUGCCUCUAGACAGCUGAAGCCCCACGAGGCUAAGUAUCCGACACACGACUUAGAGCUGGGGGCAGUGGUGUUUGCCAUCAAGAUUUGGAGACAGUAUCUCUAUAGGGUCCGCUGUACCAUUUACACAAAUCACAAGAGUCUGAGGUACCUCAUGGACCAGCCGAAUUUGAACAUGAGGCAACGUCGAUGGUUAGAUGUGGUGAAGGACUAUGAUUGUGAGAUCCUUUAUCAUCCGGGCAAGGCCAACGUUGUGGCCGACGCCCUGAGCCGCAAGGCAGUGGCGGCACCGAUUAGAGGUAUAUGUCUGAGGAUGAUAGUGAUUACUCCAUUGCUGGAGCAGAUUAGAGAUGCAUAGGUCGAGGGCCUGAAAGAGGAGAGGCAGAAGUGUGAUAGGAUUGUGGGCCGAGUAGCUUCUUUCGACUAUGACAGUCGGGGACUGUUGAACCUUCAUGAGAGAGUAUGGGUGCCGUAUUGGGGAGGAGUACGACAGGUGUUGAUGGAUGAGUCCCACAGGUCCCGGUUCUCCAUCCAUCCAGGGGCGACGAAGAUGUAUAGAGAUCUUCGACCCAAUUAUUGGUGGCCCUGCAUGAAGCGGGACGUAGCCUGGUACGUAGAGAGAUGCCUGACUUGCAGGAAGGUCAAGGCAGAACACCAGAGACCCCAAGACAAGAUGCAGCCGUUAGAGAUUCCUGUCUGGAAAUGGGAGGAUAUCACCAUGGAUUUCAUCACUAAGCUUCCCAGGACCGCACGGGGAGUUGAUUCGAUUUGGGUCAUAGUGGAUCGGCUAACCAAGAGCGUGCAUUUCAUACCGAUCCAGGAGAGUAUAUCGGCUGAGAAGCUAGCUGAUAUUUAUGUACGCAAGGUAGUAGCACGAUAUAGAGUGUCUGUAUCAGUAGUAUCAGAUCAAGACGUCCGGUUCACUUCCAGGUUUUGGAAGCGGUUUCAUAGCGAGAUGGGGACUCGUCUUUAUUUUAGCACCGCUUUCAACCCUCAAACGGAUGGACAGAGCGAGAGGACGAUUCAUACUAUCGAGGACAUGCUUCGGGCAUGUGUCCUAGACUUUGGUGGCAGUUGGGAUAAGUAUCUUCCACUAGCGGAAUUUUCGUAUAACAAGAGUUACCACGCUAGUAUUGACUGACCUCCUUUCGAGAUGCUCUACGAGAGGAAGUGUAGGACCCCGAUUUGUUGGGGCGAGGUCGGUCAGCGAGUCAUCGGGAGCACCGAGGUGGUGCUCAAGACCACAUAGUUGAUCCAACAGGUCCGUAGCAGAUUGCAGACUGCACAGAGUUGACAGAAGAGUUAAGCCGAUAGGAGGCGUUCGGACUUGGAGUUUCAGGUGGGCGAUAUGGUCCUCCUGAAGGUAUCACCCUGGAAGGGUGUUAUCAGGUUCCGGAAGAGGGGCAAGCUGGGCCCCAGGUUCAUUGGUCCUUUUAGGGUUUUGGCCUGGGUGGGUUGGGUUGCUUAUUGGUUGGAUCUUCCGGCAGAGCUUAGCCAGAUCCACAACACUUUCCAUGUUUCUCAGAUGAGGAAGUGUUUGGUGGACGAGUCAGCAGUUGUACCCUUGGAGGAUAUUCAGGUUGAUAGUAUCCUGAAUUAUAUCAAGAGGCCACUUCGAUCUUAGAUCAGAAGGCAAAGACUUUUAGGAACAAGGUGGUUCAGUUAGUGAAGGUGCAGUGGCAGCACCGAAAAGGUUCAGAGUGGAUGUGGGAGACCGAGGGGGAGAUGAGGGAGCAUUACCCAGAGUUAUUUUCAGAUUUAGCAGCAGCGGACUUCGAGGACGAAGUCUAAGAUAAGUGUGGAAGAGUUGUAACGCCCCAUUUUCUGGUAUGUAAAUUAAAUAAAGUAUUUUCAUUUCGUAAGGGGUACUCGACGAGUCUGUAGCCCGACCUUCUCAUGACACAUAAUUUCAGCAUGGUGGGGGAUCAACCAGUCCAUGCCGAUAAUCACAUCAAAACUCCUAAUAGUUACAGGCAUCAAGUUUAUUAGAAAGACGUGAUGAUUUAAGGUCAGGGUACAUCCUACGUAGAUUUCCCCAGUUGAUUCUGUGUUCCCAUUAGCCAUUUCCAUCGUAAAGGUUUCAUUAAGCUUCUGGGGUUGUUGUUUUAGCAAGUGUUUGAAUUUAUUACUCACAAAGCUUCGCUCUGCCCCGAUAUCAAAUAGGAUGCAUGCAUAUGUGUGGUUUAGGAGAAACGUAUCAGUGAGAACAGCGGGAUCCUGAACUGCUUCUCCUUGUCCCAUGGUCAACACUCUCCCUGCUCCUCCAUUCCCAGGGUUGUUGACAUUGGGGAAGUUUCGACGAAAAUGCCCAAUCUUUCCACAUCCAUAACAGGUGUGGCUCGGCCCCACAUUGUUUCCGUUGUUGUUGUAGUUCCGAUUGUUGUUGUUGUUGUUGUUUCCCUGCUGUUGGUUCUGGGGAGGAUAGGUCCUACCUUAUUUUGCUGUGUGACCCUUUUCAUUGCAACUGGUGCAAUGCGUUUCCCUGCAUUUGCCAUUGUGAUGGAGAUUGCACUUGUUGCACUUUGGGAGAUUCCCAGAGUACUACUUAGGGGCACCUGUCGUCCCUUUCUCUUGUUAUUCUUUCCUUUCUUGUUAUCACUCUCCUUCUUGCCUUCAGUUUCCCCUGACUUCUCGCCCAUCUUGUUGUUGUGGUCGUACAACUUCUUGGCCAACCUCUUGGCACUGUCAAAGGUUUCAGGAUUUGCAGCUAUCACAUUUCCUUGAAUUGGGGAGGUUAACCCCCAGAUGAAUCGUUCAAUUUUCUUUCCCCCUAAAGUAAUCAUGCCAGGGCACAACAGAGAGAGUUCGCUAAACCUUGAUACGUAUGCAUCGAUGUCGGAGUUUCGGACGGUGAGAUUCCAUAACUCUUGCUCCAUUUUCUGAAUUUUGCCACGCGGGCAGUACUCGGCCAUCAUCAUUUGUUUCAAUUCCGCCCACGGCAUGGCAUUGGCUACGGGAAGAGUCAUGGCUUCCACAUGUCCAUUCCACCAGGUGAGAGCUUGAUCAACGAAUGUGCAUGCCACAAACUUCACUUUCACCUCCUCAGGGCAUUCACAUAUCUCGAACACCGAUUCCACCUUUUCAAUCCAUCUCUUUAGGAUUAUCAUUCCCCCUAUGCCAUUAAAGGUUCGUGGCUUGGCGUUGGUGAAAUCUUUGUAGCAGUAAGUCUUGGUAGGCCCCUAGUUCAUUCCGUUGUUUGAGCUUCUAGCCCCUUGUCCAUUGCCUCCCCUAUUGUUGCCAUUGUGGAUUUGUGCCAGUGCCACCGUGACUGCCAUAGAUACAACUGCUUGAAAUGCAACCGAGUUGAUUUCUAGUGGUAUCGGUUCAGGGUUUCCAAGGAUGGGUCGCUGAGGCAUCUUUCUGUCAUGGAACGUAAAGAUGUUGAGAGCCUAUAAUUUUUGUGAGUUUUGGGUCCUAUAUGCUAGGUGUAUAGCAUAUACUUGGGCAGUUUUUACAUAUUGACAUACAAUCAUGGGAACAUAACACAGAACAGAUAACAACAUCACAAUAGACCACAUAUUAUUUUCCACUAAUAAUAUUCGUACUUUGAUACAUGAAAAUUUUGCUCGAAAGAGCAUACAUAAAGGGUACAAUGUUCGGCAGCGUAACGACUCUAUGAGUAGUGUAAUCAGUUAAACAUAGAGUCGGUGGUACAUAGCAUAGAUCAUAUAAGCAUAAUACUGAAGAUGGACACGACUAAUCCUAGCCACGGUGGGAUGUGCCAGGGGGUGGUGCUGAGGAAGUGGAUGCUCCCUAAAGGCGAGCCACCUGUCGCUCCGUGUUGUGGAGUCGAUUCUCCCACCUCACUUGUCUCAUGUGGAACUCUUGGAUAACUUCUCGUGUCUCCUGCUCCGCGCGCUCAACCCUAGUCCACAUCUGGUGCAUCUGAUCGAUGGUGCUCUGAGCCAGAUCGCCAGUGUCCCGCAAUCGUCUCACCACGUCUGGAAGUGCGCGAUCAGCCAAUCCUCCCUCCGUCAAGUCAUAGAACUCACGUGCCAUGCCAAACGGGGGUCGUUGUCCCUGCUUCCUGCUCCACCUCCAAAUGUCGAUACCCAGGGGGUGUAGGGCCAGUUGGGCCCAUCCGAUGAGCGGGCACCCUAAUCGGGUAAGGGGGGUUGAUGACUUCGGACUCCACGUCCGAAUCAUAGUCGUCGUCAUCACAGGGUUCUUCCUCGAGGUCUCCUUCGGCUUCUUCUUCUUCCAGGUCUACCACUGGUUCGACAGGUCCGCCCUCGACUUCCGCUUCAGGUUCCUCUUCAGACUCCUCCUCGGGGUCUUCUUCAGGUUCCUCUUCCGACCAUCCGUUAUUCCCCUGGUUGGGGAAAUAUGGAUCUCCAGGGUGGUGGAAACCGGCCAUACUGUCUGCAAGAGUGUAUAUAAAUAUACUGCUGUUAUUCUUAAGGUUUAUUAUUUAGAUAUUUAAAAGGUUAGGUUGAUGCGUUCUUUUGGGUAACAAAGGGGUAUGUUUUAAGUUUACCGACCAUCACGAUUUCCCCAGGGCAUGUGAUAGUUGUAUUCCGGAGGAAAUGUAGUUGAUCAGGCUACCUUCGCCCCUUAAUACAACUGUGAACAGUCCUGGCUUAACCGAGAUGUCAGGAUCAUCUUAUUUAAUUUGGUAUUAUGUUCUUUUCCCUAUGUCGCACAAGCAAUGGUGUUUUAUUAUUAUAUUUUAUUUGUUUUGUUCAGAGUUGUUUAGUCCCUCUUUGGUUUAUAGUUGCAUAUCAAUGUAUGGUUAGAUAUGCCGUUCACUAUAAAUAGUGCUCUGAUACCAACCUGUCACACCCCCGAACCAGACGGCGGAAACGUCCGAGGGCUCGCGUGACUUAAAUUGAAAUAUCAUCACAAUGAUUACACAUGAAACAUAACAUAAGCAUCGCGAUGCAUUAAUAUAUUACAACUGACAUUGUUCGCAUCAAGUACAUUGUCUAAAUAUUACCUUUCCAUAGCAUAAAUUGUUUGGGAGUUUUCAAAACAUAACAUCCUAAUACACUUGGUAUCGUUCUUCGGUUUAUCUGUUACCUGAGAAUACAAGUUAUUUUGAAAACGUCAACAUAAAGAAUGUUGGUGAGUUCAUAAGCAGGUUUGAUAUGAAAAUGUUUUGUGUAGUUUAUAAAACCCAGAAAAUCCGAUAUUUUCUGAACCGACAAUUGUUUAUACAAAAAGUGUGAAGAUCCAUAGGUAUAUGCGUGAAUGAUUUCAAAACGUGCAUAAGUGAGAAGUUUUGCAUUAUAGUUAUUGAAAGUACAAGUGAAUAAUGUUGAUUUCCUCCGAAAAACCUGAUGUUUUCCGAUAAAUAAUAUGAUCGUUUUGGAUUAUUAUAUUGUCACAACGAAUAAAUAUGAAUUCUCCUGAUUACUUAGAUGGUAUUGGAUUUUUAUGUGGGUCGUUAUAACCAUGCAUGAUAAUGACUAGUUCGUCUGUCUUGGCAUUCUAGUGAACGCCAGAGUUGAUCUUAAGAUUUUGUCACCGUAGACUGGCCGAGUCUAACUGUAGCGAACAACUUGGGUGUGGGGGAGUCACCCCCGUAUAGAUCUAUACAGAAACUCUCGCUCUCCCUCCAGGAGACUUUGAUUAUAACUACAGACCACGACUGACCCUUAAUGGUGUCGCCCAUUAUUACUCAAUUAAUCCAAAUGAAUUUGAUUACCCUUGAUUAACGACCUGAUUUUUGGUUUACUUAAAUAGAAGAUAAGUGUAACAGAUGAGGAGUAGAGGACCACGAGGUCUAAGGCUGUCGAGUAUACGAAGGGCGUGUUGUUCUACUUCGCAUAUGAUUUAUUUUGACCUUACUAGCAAUGAUAGUGGGCCACUAAGGCCCAACAGCACGUAAAUGCCAUUGAGGGUCCCUUAAGCAUGUAAUUGGGUCACAGUAGGCCCAAUAAACAUGUAUUAUUGUUGUUAGGCCCAAAACUCAGAUUAAUGGGUCACGAAGGCCCAAUAAGCAUGAGUAGAAUUUUUCAAGCCCAACAAUUGGAAUAUUUACUUGUUUUAGGUAUAGUAUAAUUGUCGGGAAUUUUGUUUGAACAAUUGUUGAAUCGCAAAGGCACGAAGUUUGUCAAUUAUUGUGUAACGAUAUUUGAAUUUAUGAAAAUAUAUGUAUAUUUUUCAUUCUAAACUCAUAAGUUAUAAUUUGGUAUUUUUGACCCAAUAUCUUAAUAAUAAAAUAAUUGACUCAAAAAUAUUGGUUUGACCAUUUUCAGCCCUUCUUUAAUAAAAAUGACAAUUUUAGUCCCUUUUUAGAAAAAAUGACAUUUUAGGUCCUUAAACUAUAUUUCUUAACAUUUUGGCCCAAAGACUUAUUUAAAUAAUGUUUUCAGCCCAAUGUUUUCUUUUUGGCAGUUUCAGCCCCUUUAGUAAAAAGAUUUUCAUUUAUAACCCAAACUUUUCGCAACUUUUACAAAUUUGACCCAAAAUCCAAAAACUUCACAUUUUUAAUCCUUUUUGGCAAUAAGGUUAUGUUAACCCCUGAAAUAGAUUUAUUUACCUCUCUACCCGCUGUUUUGAGAAAUUUACCAUUUCAGCCCUUAAAACCAUAUUUUUUUUGCAAGUUUGGGUCUAUGGGCCGAAAAGCCUAAAAUUUUAGCCUAAUAGGCUACAAUUUACAUUUAUAGUCCUUUGAAAAGCAUAAUAUACAUAAAAACUUAUAUUUUAACUGUUUUGACCCUUUUGAUCCUUGUAAAAGUCGUAAAUGACAACUUUUUCCCAACUUUUGUUUAUUUCACAAAAGUAGUCUAAAAAUGAGUUUUAUGUUGUAACUUGCUUAUUAUAACCUUAGAUGAUAAUUCUUCUUAACUUAUUAAGCGUAACACAUCCUAGAUCACAUAUUUUUCCCCCAUGAGCUAUAGAUCUCGAAUAUUUUUCAUUUUUGGCACAUAUUUACCAUAUAAACACAAGAAAUCACACAUAACAUAGAAAUACACAUAGAUCUACACAUUUUAAUUGUAUUCUCCCCCAUAAAACAUGUGAAAAACCAAAAAUAGAGGGGUAUGAACUCACCUUGAUUUGAUGUUCAUGGUUUUGAAGAAGAAAGGAUGAAAAUGAUGUGAUCUUUCGGCCUAACAAGCUUCUUUAGAAGUCUUUGGGCUUAGAUUGUUUCGAAGGAGUAUGACCAUGAAUUUGAAUGAAUUAAAAGAUGAUUUUUGAUGAGAUAUAGAAGUUAAAAUUUGGAUUUAAGUAAAAACUUACCAACAAUAUGUGUUAUGAGUGAAAGAUCUUCUUGGCAUGUAAGCAAGUCUCGAAAUUUUGAAGGAAGAAUGGAGAUGUUCUAGAGAGGAUUUGAUAGUAUUAGAAUGGAGUUUGAUAUGUGUGUGUGUUACUACCUUCGACCGAGAGGGAUAAAGAGAGAGGGGAGGAUUUCCACGUGGGUUAUUGGAUGAUGGAUUAGGAUCAUAAUCUAGAUGCAUGAGGUAUAAUUAGUAUGGAAAUCCUAUAUGUAAAAAUGAGGUGUCAACCUCUUUCCUAUGCAAUUUCUAUUUUUUUUUACGCAUGGGCCGAAAUGGGCCUAGUGGGAGAUGGUAUGAAUAAAUUUUGGCCCACAUCUAGCCUAGGUUCGAAAUCAUGAGGUUCUUAGAAAGGUUUUCAGCCCAUUGGGCUCUUUUGGAUAGUUUAUGGCCCAAUUUAGCAUAAAGGAAUGGAUUUGAGUCCAUUAAAGCUAAUUGAAUUUGUUAUGGCCAAUAAGGCCCAUUAUAGGUAAACUAAUCCAUUAUAGACCCAUUAUGGACCAAAAUGUUAAGUUUCAUGCAAGUGGGUUCAAUUAGGGUCCAUAUAAGGGUCCUAAGCCCAACAUAGUCAAAUUGGAAGCUUAUUGGUCUAUUAGGCCCACUAAGGAAAUCCUAUUCCAUAAUGGACUUAAACCAGGAUUUUUAGGGUUUCCAAUCAUUUGUCGACCAUUUGAAGUGUUUAUAUAGAGUGUUUGAUGGAAAUUUUAUUGUCAUUGAAUAAGCAUCAUUCAUGCUUUCAAGUUUUAGUUACAAUGUUAGUCUUGUUAAGUGUUUACAAAGCAUCAGAAUUCCUAGUUGUGAUAGCUUGCUGCUCUGUACUCUGUUUCACAUGUUAAAUCAGCUACAGCCUCAUGUUUGGAACUUUUCCAUGUUACUGAUCCUCCAUUUAGGGUAAAUACCCAGACCGAAUGAGAGCGAAAAUUCUCUUUAUCGGUCAGAAAACUGGCGUCACUAUACCUUGUCAGUCUCAAGUCAUCACUCCCACCGAGGGUAAGAACCCAAUCCUUAGUCCUCCGUAGGUAUUUAAGAAUGUUCUUUACUACAAUCCAGUGUGCUAUACUAGGAUUCCCUUGAUAGCGACUAACCAUGCUCAAAGCAAAAGCCAUAUCAGGGCGAGUACAUGUCAUAGCAUACAUGAUCGAGCCAACGACAGAAGCAUAUGGUACUCGACUCAUUUAUGCUGUUUUAGCAUCAGUAUUCGGACUUUGAGUCUUACUAAGUUUGGUAUUGCUCUGGAAAGGCAAUUCUCCUUUCUUGGAAUUCUCCAUGUUGAAGCGUUUAAACACCUUGUCCAAGUAGGUACUUCGACUAAGUCCUAUUAGUAUUUUACUCCUAUUUCUCAAUAUCCUUAUCCCUAGAAUAUAAGCAGCUUCCCCAAGGUCCUUCAUAGCGAAACACUUCCCAUGCCAGGACUUAACUUCCUGCAAGGUUGGAACGUCGUUUCCUAUAAGUAGUAUGUCUUCAAUAUACAAUACCAAACUAUACUCCUACUAGCUUUGACAUAUACGUAGGACUCAUCCUUGCUUCUCAAAAAACCAAAGUCUUUGACUUUCUCAUCGAAACAAAGAUUCCAUAUGCGAGAUGCUUGCUUUAAUCCAUAAAUGGAUUUCUCAAGCUUCACACUCUAUUAGGGUACUUCGCGUCUACAAAACCCUUUGACUGACUCAUGUAAACAUCCUAAGAGAACUUCCCAUUAAGUAAAGAGGUUUUGACAUCAGUCUGCCAUAUUUCAUAAUCAUGAAACGCAACUAUGGAUAGCAUAACCCUUAUAGACUUAAUCUUCACUACUGAUGAGAAGGAAUCGUCAUAGUCAACUCCAGGAGUUUGAGUAAAGCCCUUUGUAACCAAUCGUGCCUUAUAUGUGUGUACUUUCCCAUCCAUGUCGGUCUUCAUCUUGAAGAUCUAUUUGCACCCGACUGUCUUACGACCUGAUACAUUUUCAACCAAAUGCAAAACUUGAUUGUCAUACAUGGACAGAAUCUCGCUGUCCAUUGUCUCUUUCCAUUUAGCAGACUCAGGGCCCGCCAUGUCCUCCUUGUAGUUAGAUGGUUCAUCCAAAUUUACCAGGGUACUAUCACUGAUAAACAUAUAACCUUCCAUAGUAAUAUGAAAACCAUAAAACUCCAGUGCCAUCCUAACUCGAGAGGAAUGUCGAAGAGGUAAUGACUCAUCAACUGGUUCAACAUGAGUUUCCUCCUCAGCUUGGGCGCUAGUGUUAGAGGUUCCUUCAUCUCUUAACUCUUGAAGCUCUUUAACGUCAAUUUUCCUCCCACUGUCGUCUUGGCAUAUGAGCUUUCUCUCGCGAAAGAAUCCUCUACUCGCAAUGAAGACAACAUUGUCACUCGGUCUAUAAAAGAGAUAUCUAAAAGACUUAUGCGGGUAGCUGAUGAAAAUACACUGCUCACUACGAGGUUCGAGCUUUUCGUGAGUUUCAUGUCUUAUGAAAGCCUCGCAACCCCAAACCUUGAUAUGUGCUAACGAGGGAACAUUCCCUGUCCAUAUUUCGUGAGGUUUUUGGCAACCUUCUUAGUUGGGACUAGAUUAAAGAUAUGUGCGGCAUUCUCUAAGGCAUACCCCCGGAAUGAGAUAGGUAACAAAGCUCGAUUCAUCGUGGAAUGAACCAUGUCCAACAAGGUUCAAUUGCACCUCUCAGCCACACCAUCAGGCUGUGGUGUCCUAGGUGGUGUCAACUACGAAAUAAUUACACAUUCCUUAAUAUAGUCAUGGAACUCGAUACUAAGAUACUCACCACCUCGAUCGGAUCGGAGUAUCUUUAUCUUCCUGCCCAAUUGAUUCUCCACUUCUUGAUAAAACUCUGUGAACUUUUCAAAGGUUUCUGACUUGUGCUUGNCUAUCGGAUCUGAGCAUCUUGAUCUUCCUGCCCAAUUCAUUCUCGACUUCAUGUUUGAACUCUUUGAACUUUUCAAAGGUUUCUGACUUAUGCUUGAUUAAGUAUAUAUAUAUAUAUAUAUCCAUAUCUGCUAUAUGUUGGAUUAGGUGUCUAAUCCUAUAACUAUAAUUGGUAUGUACUUGACCCGAGAGUAGCAUGGUCCAUUUGGGUUGCCUUCACCAGAACAAAUUGAUAGGAUGGAUAUUUGAGAAAGAGGUUAUUUAUGAUUUAUUAAUAUAGUAUAAAUAUAAUAUAUUAAUAGUGAAAUCAUAUUAUUUAAAUAGUAUUGAUCAAGAAUUAAUUUGGAAUUAAUUUAGUGAUCAAAAGUGACUAAUUAAAUUAACAGGGACUGAUUAUGUAAAUCAGUGAUAUAUAUAUUGUUUGGGAUAUUGAUCCAUGUUGGGCUAAGUUUAUGUAAGAGCUAGCCCACUUGAGAUAUGGAUCAUAUUUUAAGUGCAUGAAUUAGGGUUUGCCCAUGAGUCUUGGAAUCCUACACUAUAUAUGCAUUUCCCUAAGGCUAAAAAUCAGACCUAAUGAGUUCUAAGAGAAACCUAGCCGAGUUUGGUAGUGAUUAACCUCUCUCUCAAUGUCCUCCUUUGUUCAUGGUGCUUGUGAACCAUUUGAGGCAUCACAGUUGAUGUGCUAAGCUCUUGAAAGGCUAAAACUACAAGCUACAAUUUAGAGGUAUUCUUCUAAUUCGAUUUUAUGAUUCAUGUACCAAAAUUGUAUGCUAGUUGUAGGCUUCAUGCUUUGUAAAAUUUAUUGCAUGUAUUACUUGAGAAAUCAUAGAUCCAAAGCUAUUAGGGUUGCGUGUGCACCAUAGGAGUGUUAUAGUGCUUAAAACACAAUAGUGGUAUCAGAGACAUGGCUAGUUUUCUAUUAUAUUUGAUGCUUGGUUAUUUUUCAAAGCUGAAAAAAUUGAUUUUUUGGCCUCUGACCGAUGAACUCGCCGACUCCACUCGUUAAAAGGGCAACUCGAUGAGUCAUGCUAAUGAACUUGUUGAGUAGAGACUUCUGGUUGUAGAAUUUCGAGUUUUCGGCCAUUAUUGUAUUAGGAUCAUUACCACAAACUAUUUUGUAAUCAUAAAAAAUCAUAUUUUUCUUAUAUGGUAGUGAUUAUACUCAUCUAAUCAAAAGAUAAUUGUCAACGUAUGUAAGAUAAUUGUUGCUUUAUAUGAUAUACAAAGUUACUUGAAAAUUGUUGAUUUGAUAUUAUCUUGCUAUAUGAGUUUAGUUUGAUUAAUCAUGAAUUAUAUGAUAAUUUUAUUUGUUGAAAUUGAUCUAAAUGUUUUUUUUAAUGAAUUCCAUAACUUGUCCUCAAAUUUUGGAACAUGAAAAGUCUCAUCCAUUAAAAUAACAUUAAACUCAUAAGUUAUGGAAUUCAAGAGUCUUGGAUGGUUACAAAAUUUGUCAUCAAGUUUUGGAAUCCAAAAGGUUUUGAAGAGUUUCAAAACUUGCCAUCAAGUUUUGGAAUUUGAAAAGUUUAAUUAAAAAGGUUUUAAUUUGUAAUAUUGAAUUCUAAAACAUCUAGUAAUUGAAAGGUUUCAAAAGAUGCAUCUCUAGGGUUUAUAACUUAUUAAUUAUAUAGUUUUAAUUUUGAAUUUUUAAUAACCUAGAUGAUUUGAAUAGUUCAAUUACACCUUAUGGACUUUAUUAAAUUAAUUAAAGUGUUUAAUUAAAAGUGAAGUUUAAUGAAUCCAUAAUAACAUGGUUUAAGAUUAAUUAAAUUAAAAGCAUAAUUUAUUAAGAGAUUAAACCACCAAGUAUUUGAAAUGUUUAAAAUACACACUUAUACUAUAUAAAAUUAAAAUUUGAAUAUAUUAUAUAUGCAUAAGUAAAAGGUCAGUCUUACCGUUAGUAGGCCUCCUUCACGAUGCCAUUCUAUAAGGAGGGUAUAAGGUUACUGCCUAUAAAAUGACGGUUUAAUGGGUGUCCAUUCUCACUCAUUGCUUCCUUGACUGGUGGAGGGUCGUUAGCCGAACGGGUAGGAUAAGAAAUUAAUUCUCAUUAAAGGUAUAAUGAAAUACCAAGUAAGUAAAUAAUUCUGUAAAUUCCCAAUCUUAGUUACAUAGGAAAAAUGUGAAUUUGAUGCUAACCCGUGAAAUUGCACAUUGCACCCUAUUAGUCGUUAGUGGAGCGUGUGUGGUUAACCGACACAAUAAUCUCGGACUAAUAGAGGAUGACAAUGUGUAGCUCAAUGUUAAUCAUAGAUAAAUGGAGUGUGUUGUUGGAUAAGGUGUCUAAGUCCAUAACUAUUUCGGGCUUGUACUUGACCCGACCCGGCAUGGUCCAUUUGGGUUGCAUGGCACCAUGCAAUUGGUUAGACUAAAUGAGAGAAAUAACACUUGGAGAUUAUUAAUAUAUUAUAAGUUCUAAUAUAUUAAUAAUAUUAUUUGAUUAGUUUGAUCAAGAAUUAAUUUGGAAUUAAUUAAGUGAUCAAAGGUUAACUAAUUAAAUAUAUGGGUUCAUCCAUAUCUUGUAUAGUGGGCUAAGAGGCUCCAUGGAUUAUCAAGUUGGGUUCUACCCAUAGGAUGCUCCAUGGAUGCUCCAUGGGAGUUACAAACCCAUGGGUCAUGGAAAUGAAGAGUCAUGACACAUUAGGGUUUACAUGGUGUAACCCUAGAUGUGUCAACACUAUAUAAGAAUCAUAUUCUCCACCAAAAUCGGCUACACUAAGAAACUAGAGGGCUUGGCCGAUUUUGAGAAGUGUGUGUUAUCUCAAGAGUCUUUCCAAGAGCAUUUGGUGUUGUGUGAAGCAUUUGAGGCAUCACACUUGGGGUGCUAGGCUCACAAGGUUUCAAGGAACACAAGCAACAACAAGGUAAGUUAUUCUAUCUAUGAUUCAAGUUAAAAUUGUUCCCCAUGUAUGCUAGAUAGGAAUAUAACCUUGGAAUUCAACUUUGCAUGAUAAUUAGACAAACAUAGAUCCAAGGUUAUUAGGGUUGCAUGUACACUUAGGAAGUGUUAGAAUGCUCAAAACCCAUCAGUGGUAUCAGAGCCUAGGCUUGUUUGUUUGUUAUUUGUGCUUAAAAGUUGAAGAAAGUCGAAAAUCUUGCUGUCUGACUGAUGGACUCGGCGAGUCCAUGGGGAGGACUCGACGAGUUCAUGUGUAUCUUCAACCUACUCGGCGAGUAGGUUUAUGCACUCGGCGAGUAGGGUCGACAGAGUGCAGAAUUUCGACUUGUGUUGCUGGAAAUGGAUUAGAAUCAUUACCCUAAAAUGUUUUGGUACUUGAAAACUUAUUUUAGAAGGUGUAAUGUCUUUUCUAACUCAUUUACAACAACUAGUUAUCAAAAUUACAAAGAUUAAAUGUGAUUUUGAUUCUUGAAAGUGUUCAUAUUCAUAUUCUUGUUCUUAUGAUGUUUAGAUGAUCAUAGGAAUUAUUUGUAACCUAUGUGGUAGAUUAAUUCAUGAUCAUAAUGUGUUUUAAUGGAGUCCAUAACUUGUCCUCAAGUUAUGGAAAACCAAAAGUCUCUUGGAUUAAAAAACAUUAAAAGAACACAAGAGUUAGGAAAAAUGAAAAGUCCUCAUUUUAUUACUCUAUUAAACUCAUAAGUUACAAGAAAUGAAAAGUUUUGAAAGUUUACAAAACUUGCCCUCAAGUUUUGGAACAAGUAAAGUUAAGUUAAAACUUUAGUUCCAACCCCUAGAAUUUUAAAAGUUAAAAUUCAACCCUUAUACUUAUAUUAUUAUGAUUUAAUAAUUAUAUAUAUAUGUAUAAGAACAAAGUCGUCUUACCGCUAGUACGCCUCAUUCACGAAGCCGGUCUAUAAGGUGGGUAUAAGGUUGUUGCCUAUAAAAUGGUGACUUAAUGGGUGUCCACUCUCACCCACCGCUUGCUUGAUCGGUGGAGGGUCGUUAGCCGAACGGGUAAGACAAGGACUUAUUAAUUCUCAUUCAAAGUAUGAUGAAUAUUAUAAAGUAACUAAAUGUUUUAUUAAAUUCCCAAUCUUAGUUACUUUAGGAAAAAUGUGAAUAAGGUGCUAUUCCAUGAAAUUACACUUUACACUUUGAUUAAGUCGUUGGUGGAGCGUGUGUGGUUAACCGGCACACUAACUUGGACUUAACAAGGUAGGUAAAGGGUGACUUAGGGUUUAUUAUAGUAUCGAUGGAGCGUGUGUGGUUAACCGGCACAUCGAUUGAGUGAUAAACUUUAAGGGUACCAAGUGAUUUGCAUGGUUACUUCACACCUCGUUUUGUGAUCCUCGGUAUCCCAGUCACAAAACUUGGAGGGCACACUCGAGAUUGAAACAUGCCUUUGAAAAGUUCAUUGAAUCUCAAAGAAUCUAGGAAUUUCUAAGAACCAUUCAAAAACCUAAUACUAAAAUAUUGCGGUUUUCGUGGUGGAAAUUGGUGAAUCGUCAUUCACCUACCUUUCAAAUAUGAUAUAGCUUAGAUUACGGCAUACCUCUUCUAAGUUAUAUUAUAUUGUGAUUGGAUCCUAGCCUUAAUAUUACAUUUGGGUGUUUUAUUAAGGACUCUCUUAUAUCUAAACUAAUCUUGUCCUCUUUCCUUCAGAUGUCUUUCAACAAUGCUUCUGGCUCUAAUCCUAAUGGCUCCUUUACCCUUAUGAACUUGUGUGGGAAAGUCACCUUUGAUGGAUCCAACUUCAAUGAGUGGAUCAGAAACAUCAGGAUGAUUACCCGCUACGAGGACAAAGAAUAUGUCCUUGACAAGGAGCUUAAGGAGAUUGAUGAGUCCACUGCAACUCCUCAGGAGAUCGCUGAAUUUCGGGCACAUGAAAGGGAUGCUACGAAAGUGGCUUGCAUCAUGAUGGCCACGAUGACAGCGGAACUCCAAAAGUCUUAUGAGGAUUUCUACCCUUAUGAAAUGCACCAAGAUUUGAUGGAAAGAUACCAUCAAAGUGCAAGACAAGAGAGGUAUGAAAUCAUCUGCUCCAUGAUAACAACCAUGAUGAAGGACGGGGAAUCCGUCACGAGCCACAUGCAGAAAAUGCAAAGGUAUGUGGAUCGUUUGCUGAAGCUUAAUGUGAACUUCCCGGAGGAUCUUGCAAUAGAUAUUAUUUUGCAUUCCUUACCAUCGUGCUAUGAUCAAUUCCGCAUGACAUAUCACAUGAACAAGGAAGAAGUCACCCUCAGCAAACUUCAGGGACUUCUCAAGACCGCAGAAUCAGGUCUUAAGGGGAAGUCGGUUGCUAUCACUCCUACUCAAAACUCUACUCCGGUUUUGGCAAUCGGGAAAAGUCGAGGGAGGAAGAGAAAGAGCUCUUCUAAGGGUACCAAGGUUCGGACCCUUGAUGGCUCUUCUUCAAGUGGAACCAAGAAAGGUUUCAUUACUCCUUCUUCUGACCCAAAAGAGGCUGAAUGCUUCUAUUGCCAUGAAAAAGCUCAUUGGAAGCGGAACUGCCCAAAAUACCAGCAAGAUGUGAAGGAUGGGAAAGUUAAACCCAACCAUGCAGGUAUUUACACUAUCAUUUCUAAUAACUCACCCCAUUCUAAUUCUUGGGUCCUUGAUACCGGGUGUGGUAUUCACAUUUGUUGUGACUUGCAGGGACUAAGAAGAAGUGAGGAUGUGGAGCAAGGAAGGAUAAACUUGAUCAUGGGGAAUAGGAAAGCUAUACCUGUUACCAAGAUUGGAGUUUAUACUUUAUCGCUAAGUAGUGGGUUUAGUUUAGAUUUGAAUAAGUGUUGUUAUUCGCCAGGAAUGGCAAGAAAUAUUAUUUCCUUUCAUGCUUUGUACAAACAAGGGUUUACCUUUUCAUUUAAUAAUGAAGUUGGUUCUAUAGAUGUUUUCUAUAAUAAUGUCUUUUAUUUUAAAGCAUUACCUUGUGAUGGUGUGUAUGAAGCUGUAUCUGUUGUAGAUAACUUGGGAAAUAAUGUUUUGUGUAUUGAUUCUACUAAUAAUAACUUGGAUAAAGCAUCUUUAUGGCAUUGUCGUCUUGGACAUAUAAGCAAGAAACGCAUAGGCCAACUCCAAAAGGAUGGAGUCUUGGAGUCGUUUGACCUAAAGUCAGAUGAUAGUUGCGAAUCAUGCUUACUUGGAAAAAUGACAAAGUCACCCUUCACAGGUUCGUGUGAGAGGGGUGAAGGUUUGUUGGACCUUAUACACACGGAUGUGUGUGGACCAUUCAAACAUGCCACAAGGGAUGCUAAUCGUUAUUAUUUGACUUUUACUGAUGAUUAUAGUAGAUAUGGAUAUGUCUACUUGAUCAAGCAUAAGUCAGAGACUUUCGAGAGGUUUAAGGAAUUUAAACAGGAAGUCGAGAAUCAAUUGGGCAGGAACAUUAAGAUGCUUCGAUCCGAUCGUGGUGGUGAGUAUCUUAGUUCAGAGUUCCUCGACUAUCUAAGGGAAUGUGGGAUAGUCUCACAAUUGACACCUCCCAGGACACCACAGUUGAAUGGUGUGGCUGAGAGGCGUAAUCGAACCUUGUUAGAUAUGGUUCGUUCCAUGAUGAGUCGAGCUACGCUACCAAUCUCAUUCUGGGGGUAUGCCUUAGAGACUGCCGCCCAUAUUCUUAAUCUAGUCCCUACAAAGAAAGUUGCCAAAACUCCUCACGAGAUGUGGACUGGUAAAGUACCUAAACUAGACCACAUCAAGAUUUGGGGUUGCGAGGCUUUCGUGAGACGCGAGACUCAUGAUAAGCUCGAACCUCGAAGCGAGAGGUGUAUUUUCAUCGGUUACCCACAGCGAUCCUUUGGUUACCUCUUCUACAGACCUAGUGACAAUGUGGUCUUUGUAGCAAGAAGAGGAGUCUUUCGAGAAAGAGAGUUUAUAAGCCAAGGAGACAGUGGGAGGCAAAUUGAUCUUGAAGAAAUUCAAGAAUCAAGCGGUGAAGGAACUUCAAACUCUAGCCCUCAACUUGAGGAGGAAACUCCUGUUGAGCCAAUUGACAAAUCUGUACCUCUGAGACGUUCCACGAGAGUUAGGAGUGCACCUGAGCAUUACUAUGGAUUCCAUAUUACUGCAGAAGGUGAGACACUUAUUAGUGAUGAGACACUAGUAAGUCAAGAUGACCCUAACAGCUACGAGGAAGCCAUGGCAGGCCCCGAGUCUGCUAAAUGGAAAGAGGCUAUGGAUAGCGAGAUACAAUCCAUGUAUGACAAUCAAGUUUGGAACUUGGUUGAAAAUGUACCAGGUCGUAAGACAGUAGGGUGCAAAUGGGUCUUCAAGAAGAAGACCGACAUGGAUGGUAAAGUACACACUUAUAAGGCUAGACUGGUUGCAAAGGGCUUCUCUCAAAUUCCUGGAGUGGAUUAUGAUGAGACCUUUUCUCCGGUAGCCAAGAUUAAGUCUAUUCGGGUUCUGUUAGCCAUAGCUGCAUUUCAUGACUAUGAAAUAUGGCAGAUGGAUGUCAAAACCGCUUUCCUUAAUGGAAAGUUGGCUGAAGAUGUUUACAUGAGUCAGCCAGAGGGUUUUGUCAGCAACGAGUACCCUAAUAGAGUGUGUAAGCUUGAGAAAUCCAUUUAUGGAUUGAAGCAAGCACCUCGCAGAUGGAAUCUUUGCUUUGAUGAAAAGGUCAAGGAAUUUGGCUUUUCUAGGAGUGAAGAUGAAUCUUGUGUGUAUGUCAAGGCUAGUGGGAGUAUAGUUAGCUUUUUGGUAUUGUAUGUGGAUGACAUACUACUCAUAGGAAACGACAUUCCAACCCUGCAGGAAGUAAAGUCCUGGCUUGGGAAGUGUUUCGCUAUGAAGGACCUUGGUGAAGCUGCCUAUAUUCUAGGGAUAAGAAUCUUGAGAGAUCGGAGUAAAAGACUAAUUGGACUUAGUCAGAGUACCUACUUGGAUAAGGUGCUGAAGAGAUUCAGCAUGCAGGAUUCCAAGAAAGGAGAGUUACCCAUCCAGAGUAACACCAGAUUGAGUAAGACACAAAGCCCUAGCACUGAGGCUGAGAUAGCAGAAAUGAGUCGAACACCUUACGCUUCGGCUGUAGGAUCGAUCAUGUAUGCUAUGACGUGUACUCGACCCGAUGUAGCUUUUGCCUUGAGCAUGGUUAGCAGGUAUCAGGCGAACCCUGGCAAGGCACACUGGACUGCGGUAAAGAAUAUCCUCAAGUACCUACGGAGGACUAAGGACUGGGUCCUUACCCUCGGUGGGAGUGAUGACUUGAGAGUUGUAGGGUAUAGUGAUGCUAGCUUCCAGACUGAUAGGGAUAAUUUCCGCUCUCAGUCGGGCUGGGUCUUUACCCUAAACGGAGGAGCAAUUUCUUGGAAGAGUUCCAAGCAAGAGACAGUGGCAGAUUCUACUUGUGAAUCAGAGUAUAUUGCAGCUAGCGAAGCAGCAAAGGAGGCGAUAUGGCUGAAGAACUUCAUUGGAGACCUUGGAGUUGUACCAGCUAUUAAAGAGCCAAUGGAAAUUUUCUGUGAUAGUGAAAGUGCUGUUGCCUUAGCCAAGGAACCAAGGGAUCAUGGGAGAUCCAGACACAUCGACAGAAAAUACCAUUUCAUUAGACAUCGGAUCGAAGAAGGACUCCUCGUGGCAAAGAGGGUAUCAUCGGAUGAGAACCCAGCAGAUCCCCUCACGAAGGGACUGAGUAGGGUUAAGCAUCUCCAGCAUGCUCGGAGCAUAGGGCUGAAGGAUGAUAUAAGUUUUAGUAGUUAGAUAACCCAGAAAUUUGUAAAGUGUAAUUGACAUUUGAUGAUGAAUAAAAGGUGUUUUAUUUAUGAGUAAAGUGUUGCUAUCUCUUGUCAAUCGUUUACUAUAUUUCUUUUGCAUGUUUUGACUUCCAGAAUAAUUUUGUUUGGUGUAACAUAUUAUUCAAACCUCCACAGUCGGUCAUAUGUCGGAAGUAGGUAUGAAUCAAGACUGUCAUGAUGGGUUGUAGAGGUCUAAGGUGUUGGACAAGGCUACAACAAUCAUGAGUGCUCAUAAGUUCUGAGCAUUGGACUCAACCCACGCUCACUGGAAUCACUUCAUGGAAUUCUAUCUCGAGUGAUCGUGAGACGGUAAUAUCAUAUAAGUCUUCAAACCUAGAGAUAUGAUUUGUUACUUACAAGUUGGUUAUGCAUUGACUGUACGAAACCGCAUUGGUAACUCGAUGUUAUAAAACGUACUUUUGUGUGUAAUUCAAUGAGUGGUAGAACAAACAUAUGAGUCGAAGUUUAUCUGUUCCUUCUUGGAUUAGAAGCUGAUAUCUGGGCCCCUCGAUGAUUUUGUUUUGACCCAUGUACCGGGCCCGGUCAGAACUAAGUUGAUGUGUUCAAUUAAGUUCUAUGUCAAACAAAUCGGAAAUCGGGAAACAAAUGCUGGACAAUAAGCAAGACAAUGUUCCAUGUAUUUGUCCGGCUGAUAUCUAGAACGGAGGAUUAUAUGAUCACUUAUCUUAAAUGGCGUACCAUCAUCUUCUCAGUUCCGAGAGACCUUGAAAGAGCUACGAUUGCCGGUCGGUUCCUGAAGUACUAGAGAUAUAGUUAUUAGACUUAUCCAAGUGGGAGACUGUUGGAUAAGGUGUCUAAGUCCAUAACUAUUUCGGGCUUGUACUUGACCCGACCCGGCAUGGUCCAUUUGGGUUGCAUGGCACCAUGCAAUUGGUUAGACUAAAUGAGAGAAAUAACACUUGGAGAUUAUUAAUAUAUUAUAAGUUCUAAUAUAUUAAUAAUAUUAUUUGAUUAGUUUGAUCAAGAAUUAAUUUGGAAUUAAUUAAGUGAUCAAAGGUUAACUAAUUAAAUAUAUGGGUUCAUCCAUAUCUUGUAUAGUGGGCUAAGAGGCUCCAUGGAUUAUCAAGUUGGGUUCUACCCAUAGGAUGCUCCAUGGAUGCUCCAUGGGAGUUACAAACCCAUGGGUCAUGGAAAUGAAGAGUCAUGACACAUUAGGGUUUACAUGGUGUAACCCUAGAUGUGUCAACACUAUAUAAGGAUCCCAUUCUCCACCAAAAUCGGCACUAAUAAGAAACUAGAGGGCUUGGCCGAUUUUGAGAAGUGUGUGUUAUCUCAAGAGUCUUUCCAAGAGCAUUUGGUGUUGUGUGAAGCAUUUGAGGCAUCACACUUGGGGUGCUAGGCUCACAAGGUUUCAAGGAACACAAGCAACAACAAGGUAAGUUAUUCUAUCUAUGAUUCAAGUUAAAAUUGUUCCCCAUGUAUGCUAGAUAGGAAUAUAACCUUGGAAUUCAACUUUGCAUGAUAAUUAGACAAACAUAGAUCCAAGGUUAUUAGGGUUGCAUGUACACUUAGGAAGUGUUAGAAUGCUCAAAACCCAUCAUGUGUGUGGUUAACCAGCACAUUGACUAGGUGAUUUGUAACAUUAAGUGUACCGAGCUAAAUUGCAUGGUUAUUCACACCUUGUUUGUGAUCUUCGGCAUCCCAAUCACAAACUUGAAGCACAUAAUCAAGAUUUAAACAUGCCAUUGAAAAGUUCAAUGAAUCUCAAAGAAUCUAGGAGAUUCAAUUCAUUUAAAACCUAAAAUUCAUUUUCGUUUUUCAUGAUGGAAAUUGGUAAAUCGUCAUUUACCUACCUUCAAAUAUUUUACAAUUGGAUUAAGGCAUCUAUCUUCCGAAUUGUAGAAUAUUGUGUUGGGUCCUAGCCUUAAUAUUUCAUUUUGGGUGUUAUAUUAAGGACUUAAAUCAACUAACUUGAAUUUCAACCAUUAUAGAUGUCUAGGUCAGACAACUAUGGUCUUCCCAAAUAUUUUAGAAAAAUCUUUCCUUAUAAAUAUGAUGUCCCAUGAUUGGAUUGUGGAAAUGGAAAUCAUACUACGCGUCCUCCACCUCUUCCAUUAAUUCUCCCUAACCCACAAGUUCAAAGACUUGAAAAGUUCAAGGUCACUCAAUCCCUAUUGGCUAGCAAACACCAAGAUGGAAGGUUUAUGUGUACACAUGUCUUGGAGAUGAAGUCACACAUUGACAGACUGUGAAUGUUAGGAGUCGUUGUGUCGAGGAAGUUGACUGUUGACUUCGUUCUUCAGCCACUUCCCGAGUCGUAUAGUCAGUUUGUUAAAGACUACUAUAUGACAGACCGCGACGUGACCCUUAUUGAUCUUACCUAUUUGCUAAUUUCUGCUGAAUCAACAAUGAUUUGGCUGCCACACCCCCAAACCGGAACGGCGGAAACGUUCGGGGGUAGAUGACUUCAUGUACAAUAUCAUAACAAUGUAAAGUAGUAAACAAGCAACAACAUCAUCCAUUGCAUUAAUAGUAUAGUUUAAUACAUGUGUGUUCUUUCAUAGUAAUAUGGCUGGAAUCGGUAUCUGUCUAUUGAAGACCUGAGAAUACAAGUUAUUUUGAAAGCGUAGGUCAGCAUUUAAGCUGGUGAGUUCAUAAGUAUUUAAUGUCAUUGUUUGCAUAAGUAUGAAGAAAACGUUUGAAAUUGUUCAAUGCAAUUUGUUUGUAUAAAACUGAAUAAAAUGGUUUGGAUAUAUUUGAAAGUUCCUAGAAAAUCCCAUAUUUUCUACUAGUAUAUAAGUAGCUUUCUACCAAGACCCGACUGAUUUGAAUGUUUACUUCUAGGAAUCCGAUGUUUUUCCAUAAGUGGGUGUCAGUUUAAAAGUUCCAAAACUGUAACACAAUGAUGUUUUUCAUACCUAAAUAGUAGAUUUAUGUAUGUAUAAAAUUACUAACGCAUUUGAUGACCCUGUAAAUCAACGUGUGUUUUUAAUACUCCAUGUGAGUUUUAUAACCAUACUAAUUACUCAGGCUGCCUGUCACAACGUUCUUUAGGCGUUGGAAUGUUAUGACCUUUGUCACCCCAGACCUGCCGGUCUAACUAUAGCUAACAGUUUAGGUGCGGGAUUGUCAAUCCCGUAUAGAUCUAUACACAAGUAUCACGCUCUCCCUACAAGAGAUUAUGAUAUAUAAUACAGGACUUUAACUGCAUACUUAAAAGUAUGUGAAGUUGAACGUUUCACAAAACUUAGUAUCAAAAUAUAUUUACGUAUGAAAAGUCCAUUUGUUCUUGUAUAUGAAAGUAUUUCCUUGAUGUAGUACUUAUAGAAUGUAAAAUCUCAUGAUUACCUUGUAAACUAUACCUAUUAUAGUUUUUCCAAAAGUGUGUUUCGUUUGAAUAGUAAACCGUAGUGUAGUGUCGGCUUUGUAUGUGUAGUAUAACAUUUGCAAUAACAUUAUCGAACAUUUAUUCUCAAAAUAUAAAUAAAGUGUUUGAUAUUUAUAUAAGACAUGUUUUAUUCCCAAAAGGAGAAGACGUUAUCGUGACAUGUUUUGCAUUAUGUUAUAAUAUUUGUAUAUGAUAGUAUUUCUCCUAAACUAUACCUAUAAUAGCUUACUAGUAAUUUGUGUAAUUUGAAUGAAAGUAUACCUUUGCUACCCAAAGGUAUUGAAAUGAUUGAAUAGUACUUUUAUAUCUACAUAUGUACACAUAAUACAUAAGUUUAAAAGGAAGUUUUGUAAAACAUUUAAAGAGUUGAAUAAUAAAUAUUGAUGACUUGAUGUCAAUGUAUAAAAUGAUUUAAAAAUUAGUUUGUUUGAUAAGAUAGUGUAAAGUAAAAGAGACCUUUGCUCUAAAUGCAGUUAUAAAGUAUAUGAAAUCAUUUGCUUGAAACACAGUUAUAAAUCACAUAUGAUUGAUUAUAUAACAAAAGGUAUAACAAAAGAUUUAUGUCUUUCACACGAGGAUAACCGUGUGUUUACUUGUAUUCCCCCCCCCCCUAAAAGUGUAUAAAAAGCAUUUAUAAAGCAUUUGAAAGUGUAGUUUAUAGGGGUAUGAACUCACUUGAUUGAAGUGGUGGCUUGAANNNNNNNNNNNNNNNNNNNNNNNNNNNNNNNNNNNNNNNNNNNNNNNNNNNNNNNNNNNNNNNNNNNNNNNNNNNNNCCCCCCCCCCCCCCCUUAAAAGUGUAUAAAAAGCAUUUAUAAAGCAUUCGAAACUGUAGUUAUAGGGGUAUGAACUCACUUGAUAGAUUGAAGAAGGUGAGACGAAAGUCGAGCAGAACUUCGAAUGGAAAGAAGUCGAUUUCUCGGAAAUCUCGGGAUUUCAGGACUUGCAUCGUGUGUUGGAGAUGUUAUCGGGGAUUCGGGGUAGUCUCGGGAUGCUUGACACAGAGUAAAAGUAGCAUAAAAGGUAGAAUUGAACAGCCAAAACCUAAAACCUUCGGUUUCUAUUUAUAGGGCUGAAUUUGCACCUCGCCACGUCGUGGCACCUUUUCCCACGUCGUGGUAGCUGGUCGUCACUGCAUGCGUCAUCACAAGUGGUUCUGACAGGCUCCAGAGCAUCCGCCACGUCGUGGCACUGUCACCACGUCGUGGUGUCUGACGCAACUUUGGGGUUCGCGCCCCGAACUUCAGAAAUUCAUAACUUUCGCAUACGAACUCCAUUUUCGACGUUCUUUAUAUCGAUGCGUAGGUGAGAUUAUGCUCUACAAAUCUCGUUUAGACUCCGUUGGCUAAUUCUGAUGUUAUUUUUAAUAUAUUAUUAUUAUAUUAUUACUAGUAGGCCGGAACACGAAAACUCCGUCAUAAAUUCAUAACUUCUUCAUCCGACGUUCGUUUUCGUUAGACUUUUUACCGUUGCGCUACUAUUGUUGAAACCUUCGAUUCUCGUUUAGGUUGUUUCGGCCAAAAGUCUCUCAAUCUCUAUUUCGAGUUUUUAGCUGUCUACUGCUAUAUCCGGAUCUUGGAAAAAUCAUAACUUCCUCAUACGAAGUCAGAUUUGGACGUUCUUUUUAUGUACGUUUACGGUUUAAUGAUGUCUACAACAUUCAUUUAGAUACCAAAGGAAAAAAGUUAUUGUAUUGAAACUUCGCGUUUUACGUCUAUCAGUGUUGCCGGUUUUUGCCACGAAUCUUAGAUUGGUCAUAACUUCUUCGUUAUAACUCGGAUGUUAGUGUUCUUUAUAUGUACGAAAACCUUGAUAUGAUUCCUACCACUUUAUUUAACCCAAAUAAGAUUUUAGGAAAGUUAAAUUUUGACCUAAAUUUGACUGGUGUUACAUUAUAUUGUCUCGAAAUAUCGGGUUGUCACAUUGGCGCACCGGUAAUGCAAAUUUGAUUGAAAGAUCUAUUUACCAAACUUCCAUGGACAUUGACAAUGGAAACAUUGGAAGUCCAGAAAAGAUUUCUCUUCCCAAGGGAAUGAGAAAGGCUAAGAUUGUGAUUGUCCCGUGUACCAUUCCAAAGAAUCUAUUUGGUUCUAUUGCUAGUAGAAAGGGCAUUGGUUGCGAAGCUUCCGUAACUACCUGAAGGACCACAAGGAUGGUAAAGUCAAAAUGUUUGACUCUGCUUCAGGUAAGUCCACUAUCUAACUCCAUUAAGUUCUUAUUUGGAGAUUCUUAAUACAUGCUGUAAAGUUACAUUUUGAUGUUUUGUAGACUCAAAGAGAAAGAAGGAGGCUUAAAGGAAAUGUAACCUGAAUCUGAUUGCAACGAGAUGGAUUUUGAUCUCUUGGUUCGAUGAUCAGAUUUUUGAGCUGCUAUUUAGGAGUUAUGAUAGAAUGCUUAGGAAUGUUUAAAAUCAUAGAUUUCAUAUGUACUUGCAUUGUAAGGAAAAGGUUUUCCGCAUUUCAUAAAUAAAGGAAAAUUUUGAUUUUAUCUUAUUUUAUACUUCCUUGUAAUGGCAUUUGUGAAAAUUGAUAUUUGUAUAUUUCUAUUGUUAGAAAUGUUGAAAAUGGAUUUGAUUCUUUUGGUUGUGGUAGUGUCAAAAUUUACCAAAUAAGGAAAGAUUCUCAUCACCCAAGUUUCGGUUAGAUAGAAACUUGGAAUCAUGCAACUUCUAUUGUGUGAUGUAUAAGAACUUUUGUUUUUGGGAAAUUAAGACUAAUUCCUUGUUCACAUAUAUGUGUGAGUCAAGUGAAGGAUUAGGGGAUCUAGUACACAUAGUUGUGCACUGGUCAGGUCUACUACAAAGCAUGAUAAGACUAUUCAUUAUGGUUUACUAAAAGUUUAGUAAAUAUGGUUAUGCUUACAAGAUUAAGUAUAAUUUUGAGCCAUUAUAAAGGUUUCAAUAGAUAGCAUAACAAAUAAGUAGAAUCAAAUUAAGAAGAAAGAUAAAAGUUUCUCCAAUCUGAAAAGAAGGGAGAGUACUUGAGUAUCGUGUUUUAUGAUCAUCUUAGUGAUUAUGGAACCAUAUCACAAUUGAUCCUCUAAAGUGUACUUGUAUGGCUAAGAAGAGGAAUCGGGGAUUGUUGAAAUUGAUAAAUCAAGAAGAUGAAUCAUACUUCGUUCCAAAAUCAAGUCUUAGAGUUGUACUCCAAGAUCGAGCCUUGAGUGACAUAAUCUUAAGAAAGUUUUAUAACACUUAUCAAAUGUAGAGUAAAAUGUUUCUUACUCUUGUACAUUUGAAAUUGGUAAGUUGUGAUGAUUUGGAUAACACAAAGAUCAACUAAGACCGAUUGUUAGAAGUGUUUGAAUUGAUAAGAAACCACACUAACUCUUGAAUGUUUGUUUGUCAAGUAAUGUUUUUUUGACAAGAGAAUCUUAUAUGUCAAGUGGUCAGUGGGAGCCUUAAAGAUCUUGAAAAGUUUCAAGAACCAAUCAAGAAUAAACAUGUUAUUAAUCACUAGCACACGACUUAAGGUUUCUAACCUAUCGUGUUGACAUAUCUUGUUUCUAUGCCCAUUCCAGUUAAAGUUGACUAUGCAUGUGAAAUCUAUGAGUAUUCAAUUGUUUACAUAAGGCAAAGCACCUUUAUUAGUGAAAAUUCAUUAAUCAGUAAGGGUGAGAUGCUCAGCAAGUUGGAAAACAUGGUAGGUCCUCAGGCUACCAAGUGGCAAGAAAUUAAGAUUGAACAAGUUCAGUCCAUAUGAGUUUAAUAUUGUCUUGUGAUUAUGGUUAUCAAAAAUUCACAUGGAUAAGAACACAUACACCAUAAAAUCUAAGUGUCAUAAGGUUUCUCUUCGAUUCAUGAAAAUGAUGGUGAGGAAACGCUUUCACUAAGUAGAUUUUAAGGAGAUAGCAAUUGUGAUAUUUGCAUUCUCAAAUUUGAUUAUGAUUAUGGCAUCCUUCUUUACAGUUCGAAUUAUGAGAAAUGGUAAAAGGUCUAAACAUUUUAGACUUAUUGUUGUAAGUUCUAAAAUUUUUUAGACACGUAUGUGAUCUAUCUAAGGAAAGGUGUAUGAAUUUGAGAAGCCUAGUAAAGUCUUAUCGAAGUGUCUUGUGUCAGAAAUUUGAACUUUGGUAAGAAAGUAAACAAGUAUUGAUUUCUAGAAGUCCAACUUAUUUCUGGGUACAUGUCAAAGCUAGUGGGAGCAUAAGUGUUAUGCUAGUAAGAUAAUAAUUAUUAUGCUAGUGGGAGCAUAAUUAUUAUGGUAAGUGUUGUGAGUUAGCAAUGUUAAUUAUAGAAAACAAAGGUUUUAAUUCGCAAAGUUUUAGGGUUUAAAAAGUUGUUUUGCUCUAAUUAAGGGAGAGGAACUUAUACUUCAUUUCAAUUCUAAGAUUUUAGAUUGAGAUUUUAAUCAAUUUUAGUCGAGAACAUAUACAAAUGUUAUGUUGAAAAGAUUCAACAUAAGGAAAUUCUAUAUAUGAAAAUGUUAUAGCAAGAGACUGGUAAAGUGUCAGGUCUUUAUGUAAGACAUUAUGAAUCAUUUCCCAUAUGCUUCGGAUAUUGGAUCGAUUGCAUGUGCUAUAAUAUUCACAUGUUCUAAUUUUUCCCAAUACCUAGGGCAUUAAGAGGGAAAAAGGACUAGAACCUGAUAUAACUAAAGUGGUUAUGCAACUGUCAAGGACAAUCUAUGGUUCACUUAGGAUUGGUUUCUUAAGGACAGUUGGAAGUAUAGUAAUGAAUGGACGAUAUUGAUAUAAUUCUGAAUAGAUAGGAUUCUAUUAAGAAUGGAUAGUCGUAUGGUAGUUAUGGAAAUGUUUCCAUAAUAGGAGUUGGAUAUCAAGAAUCUAUGAAUAAGUUAGAAACUUUUAUGCAAGAAGGAUGUUCAAAGGAAUGUACUUUGAAUGAGACUUCUUAUUCAUGGAAUUGUCUUGUAACAAUCUCCAAUGGAAAGAUUUGUAAUUGGCAAAGUCUUUCUGACUUGUGUACAUAGUCAUUACAAAAGGAUCACUGCAUAGAAGCUUAGAAUCUAACAGAUUACAGUAAGUGACAAGGAAUUAGUAUUAUUACACUUAUGAUAAGGAUUUGAAAUUGUAAAAUGAGUGAUAUUGGAAAUGUUUACCAUUGAUCUAUUUCACAAAGUGAGGACCAUAGGUAAACAUAGUGUGCAUGCUUGGAUCAUGGGAUGACUGUUGUUUUUGAUUUGAAGUGUAAAGUUGAUAAAUCAAAACAUUAUAUAAUGAAUGAUAUGUAAUCAAUAUGGUGAUUAAAUAAAAGGUGUUUUAUUUAUAUUCAAAAGCUUUAAGACCAUAUUGGAUUCAAUUAUUCUUGUGUUUCACUUUGCAUAUUUUGACUUCCCGAAUAAUAAGAUUAUUCAAACCAUCCACAAUCGAUCAUACAUUAGAAGUAGGUAUUGAGGCAAGACUGUUAUGAAUCCGUCUAUAGAUUGUCUAAGUGUUAGACAUAGCACAAGUUUGCUACAGUAUUCAUGAGUACUCCUAUAAUAAGAUUUGAGUAUUUGAUUAAACCCACGCUCAUCUGAAUCACUUCAUGGAUUUUAUCACAAGUGAUUGUGAGACGAUAGUAUCUUAUAUUCUUGAAACCAAGACAUGUGAGUUGUAGUUUACAAGUCGGUUACACAUUCACAUAUGUAAACAAACCAGUAACUUGGUGUUAUAAAACAUAUUGUUGUGUUUGAUUUGAUGAGUAAGUACAAACAAGCAUUUGAGUCAAAUUUUAUCCAUUCCUUUUACCCUAAGAGGGAUAAAAGCAAUAUUUGUGGGCCCUUCGAUGAUUUAGUGAUAACAACCCUAAGUGCUUGGCCAAGCAUGGACUGAUUUGAUUUGUUCAAUUAGUCAGUCGUCAAAAAUCGGAAAUCGGGAAAGAACACAUGAACAUACAGAAUGAUUAUAAUCCAUGACUCAGUUCAUAUGAUAUCUAGAAUGGAGGAAUAUAUGAUCCCUUUUCUAAUGGACGCGUCAUUGACUAGGUCAGAGUUUGACAACAGAUUUUGAGAGCUACGAUUGCUAGUCGGGAUUUUGGAGUCGUACUUGCAAUAAUAGUUAUUAGACUUAUCCAAGUGGGAGACUGUUGGAUUAGGUGUCUAAGCUCCUAACUAUAAUUGGUAUGUACUUGACCCAAGAGUAGUAUGGUCUAUUUGGGUUGCCUUCACCAGAACAAUCUGAUAGGAUUGAUAUUUGAGAAAGAGGUUAUUUAUGAUUUAUUAAUAUAUUAUAAGUAUAAUAUAUUAAUUUUUAAAUCAUAUUAUUUAAUUAAUAUUGAUCAAUAAUUAAUUUGGAAUUAAUUUAGUGAUCAAAAGCGACGAAUUAAAUUAAUGGGGACUGAUUAUGUAAAUCAGUGAUAAAUAUAUUGUUUGGGCUAUUGAUCCAUGUUGGGCUAAGUUUAUGUAAGAGUUAGCCCACAAGUGAUAUGGAUCAAAACCUAAGUGUAUGGAUUAGGGUUUACCCAUGACUCUUAGAAUCCUACACAAUAUAUGUAUUCCCUUAAGGCUAAAAAUUGGACCUAAGGAGUUUUAAGAGAACCCUAGCUAAGUUUGGUAGUGAUUAGCCUCUCUCUUAAAGUCCUCCUUUGUUUAUGGUGUUUGUGAACCAUUUGAGGCAUCACACUUGAGGUGCUAAGCUCUUGAAAGGCCAAAACUACAAGCUACAAUUUUGAGGUAUUCUUCUAAUUUGAUUUUAUGAUUCAUGUACCAAAAUUGCAUGCUUAUUGUAGGCUUCAUGCUUUGGAAAUUUUAUUGCAUGUAUAACUUGAGAAAACAUAGAUCCAAAGCUAUUAGGGUUUCAUGUGCACCAUAGGAGUGUUAUAGUGCUUAAAACCCAACAUUAUAAUCAUUGAUAAAAGUUACAUAGAAGCGGUUAGCAUCCCUUGUGGCGGAUAUGAAGGGUCCACACACAUUGGUGUGUAUGAGAUCCAACAAACCCUCACUCUUUCACAAGUACCAGUGAAAGGUGACUUGGUCAUCUUUCCAAGCAAACAAGAUUCGCACGUGCCAUCUGAGUUUAAGUCAAAUGACUCCAACACUCCAUUGUUUUGGAGUUGGGCUAUGCGCUUCAUGUUGACAUGUCCAAGACGACAAUGCCACAAGCAUGCUUUGUCCAAACCAUCGGACGAAUCAAUAUGAAAUAAAUUAUUUCCUAAGUUGUAUACAACCAUCAUAAUUUCAUAUAUACCAUUACAAGACAAUGCUUCAAAAUUAAACUUGUCUUUAUAGAGUAUUUAUAGAACCAAUUUCAAUAUUAAAUGAAAAUCUAAAACAUUGUUUAUACAAACCAUGAAAAGAAAUAAUCUUUCUCGCCAUAUCUGGAAAGUAGCAACAAUUAUUAAGCUAUAAACCUAACCCAUUACAAAUGAAUAAAGAAUAAACUCCAAACUUGGUGAAAGACGACGCUUUCCUUUUCCCCAUGAUCAAGUUCAUCUUCCCUUGCUCCACAUCCCUACUUCUUCUUAGACCCUUCAAAUCAGAACAAAUGUGAAAACCACAUCCUGUAUCAAGGACCCAAGAACUAGCAUGUGAUGAGUUAUUAGAUUAAAUAGUAUAAAUACCUGCGAAGGUGGGCUUUAUCUUCCCAUCUUUAAUGUCCUACAAGUAUUUAGGACAACUUCGUUUCCAGUGCCCCUUUUCAUGACAAUAGAAGCACCCUGCUUCCUUUGGAUUGGAAGAGGGAGCAACAAAACAAAUUUUGGACCCACUAGAAGAGGAUCCAUCAUGGGAAUUUCCCUUGUGGUUCUUGAAAGGAGCUUUCCUUUUCUUCUCUUUCCCAUGUCCAAUUACUAGGACAUGGGUAGCAGCAGUAGGGGUGGGUACAACGGAUUUGCCUUUUAAACUACUUUCAGCAGUUCUCAGAAGGCCUUGAAGCUUGCUUAGAGUGACUUCCUCCUUGUUCAUAUGAUAAGUGAUGUGAAACUGGUUGUAACAAGGAGGUAACGAGUGUAGGAUAAUAUCAAUAGUUAACUCUUCAUCAAAGUCGACAUUGAACUUUGCAAGCGGUCUACAUAUCUCCGCAUCUUUUGCAAGUGGGCCAUGAUGGAGUCUCCAUCCUUCAUUUUUGUUUUUAUCACGGAGGCAAUUAUUUGAUACCUUUCUUGUCAGGCACUCUGAUGGUACCUUUCCAUCAAGUAUUGGUGCAUCUCGAAAGGCCAGUAGUCCUCGUAGGACUUCUGAAGAUCAGAAGUCAUAGUGGCUAGCAUGAUGCACGACACCUUUGUCGUGUCCUUCUCAUGAGCCCUAUACUCAACCAAUUGCUCAGGAGUAGCAGUUUUUCAGCAAUCUCCUUUAGCUCUUUGUCGAGGACAUAUUCUUUUUCCUCAUAUCGAAUGGCCAUGAAAAUGUUUCGAAUCUAGUCAUUGAAAUUCGACCCAUCAAAAAUGACCCUCCCACAUAAGUUCAUAAGGGAGAAUGAGCCAGAAGUAUUUGAGUUAGAAGCAGACAUCUAAAAAGAAAGACAAGUUUCAUUAGAUAGCAAUUCCUUAAUAUUACACGCAAAUGAAAUAUUAAGGCUAGGAUCCAACACAAUAUUUCACAAUUCGGAAGAGGGAUGUCGUAAUCCAAUUGCAAAAUAUUUGAACGUAGGUAAAUGAUGAUUUACCAAUUUCACCACCCAAAACAAAAAUUUUAAAGAAUUAAGUUUUAUGAAAUUCCUAUAUCUUUGAGAUUCAUUGAACUUUUCAAGGGCAUGUUUAAAUCUCGAUUAUGCCCUUCAAGUAUUUGAUUGGGAUACCGAGGAUCACAAACAAGGUGAGAAUAACCAUGCAAAUUAGCUUGGUACUCUUGAGUCAUUUACCACCAAAUUAAUGUGACAGUUAACCAAAUAUGCUCCAUCGAUCUAUGAUAAUUCCCAAUAUACCCUUCGCCACCCUUGCUAGUCCAAGUUAGUGUGACGGUUAACCACACACACUCCACUAACGACUUUGCAAGGUGCGAAGUGCAAUUUCAUGGAAUCGCACCAAUUUCACAUUUUUUCUAAAGUAACCAAGAUUGAGAAUUUAGAAAAACAUUUAGUUACUUUUAUAAUUAUCAUUAUAGUUUUAAUGAGAAUUAAUGUCCUAUCCUACCCGUUCGACUAAUGACCCUCCACCAAUCAAGGAAGUGGUGGAUGAGAGUGGACACCCAUUCAACCGCCUUUUUAUAGGCAGUUUCCUUAUACCCCUCUUAUAGAUUGGCUUUGUAAAUGAGGCCUACUAACGGUAAGACUGACUGUCUUAUACAUAUAUAUAUAUAUAUAUAUAUAUAUAUAUAUAUAUAUAUAUAUAUAUAUAUAUAUAAAUAUUUUAUNAUAUAUAUAUAAGUAUUAAUAUUUUAAUAUUAUAAUAGUAUAAGGGUUGAAUUUUAGACUUUUAAAAUUCUAGGGUUUAGAAUUUAAUGUUUCAUAAUUAAGACUUUUUAAAUUCCAAAACUUAAGGACAAGUUUUGAAACCUUUCAAAAUUAUCUUGUAUCAAUUUGAUAACUAUUAAAUUAAUAAUAUAACUAACUAUAUCACAAAAUUGAUAUAAUCUAAUUUCAUAUAGGAAGAUGAUUCAAAUCAAAUUCUACAAAUAAUUAUUUUUUCACAAAAUCGUGUAAUUAUCUUAAAAUUUGACAAUCAUCAUUCAAUUGGACAAGGUCAAUCAUUAACUUAUCAGAAAAAAUCAAAUUUUAUCAUUGAAAACAGUUUGUUGCAAUGAUCCUAAUCCAAAACUAGCCAAAAACUCGAAAAAAUGAAAACAGAUAAUCCAACUCGUCGAGCCAGGCAAUGGACUCGUCGAGUUGGCUCAACUGACGAUCAACUCGUCGAGUUCCUUCAUAGGACUCGACAAGUCCAGCAGUCAGUGGCCAAAAAUGAAUUUUUUCCAGCUUUGAAAACAAUACCAUUGCAUCAAUAUAACAAUAAACACCGUAGGCUCUGAUACCACUGAUGGCUUUUGAGCACUAUAACAUCCCGAUGGUGCACAUACAACCCUAAUGCUUUGCAUCUAAGUUUUCUCAAGUUAUACAUGCAAUUUCAUUUUAUCCAAAGCAUAUACCCUAGCUAGUAUGCAAUUGGAGAUAUACAACUUAAAAAUUAGUUAGAUGAAUACCUCUUAGUUGUAGCUUGUAGUUCUUGGCCUUUCAAGAGCUUAGUACCUCAAGUAUGAUACCUAUAAUUUGUCACAAAACACAAAAAGCAAGAGGAGGCUUACGAGAGAGAGGUUAGGAAGCACCAAAAUCAGCUAGGGUUUCACCUUAGAAGUCCUGGGGCUGAUUUUAGGAAGCUAGGGGUUCAAUUUAUAGUGUGGAAUCUUUAGAGUUUCAUAUAUAAAACCCUGAAACCUUUGGUAUUCCAAUGAUCCAUAUGAUAGGCCCUUUGGACUAACUCUUCAUGUACUUUCUGAUGGGUUUCGAGCAAAACAUCAAUCCUAUGGUGUACAUACAAACCCUAAUAGCUUUUGGAUUUAAUUUGUCUAAUGAACAUGCAACUGAAUAUCCUAAGAUAUAAACCCUAGAUCUAUCAUAUAAGAACUGAAAUAAGGGGUUAGUAAUUACCUUUGAUUGUUAUAUUGCAAUAACAAUCAAUUCCUUGCUUUGAUUGACUUCAGAAAGCUUAGUGCCUCAAGUGCUGCACCUCUAAUGGAGUCACAAACACCACUAAGCAACUAGAUGAAGAAGGAGAAGAUAAGAGGCACCCAAAAACGUCUAGAAACCCUAAGGAAUCAGUUACCCACGUUUUUGGGGCCUAAGGGGUUCUUUAUAUACUUGUGUGGGCUAUUAGGGUUUCAGUCAAAACCCUAAUGGACAACUUAAACUCUAACCAGCCCAUGGAACCUUCUGGGAUAAGGCCAUGGACGAAAAUUUUGAUGGACGCCCAUCAUAAUUUCGUUCACCCCUUGUUCCUUUAUCAUUCCUUAGCCCAAUAACUCAAUUAUCCAAUAAUUGCAGUCCAGUUCCCUAAAUUUAAUUAAUCACUUUUAGCCACAAAAUUAAUUAUCAAUUAAUUCUUGACUAAUAUUAAUUAAACAAUAUGAUUUCUCCUUUAAUAUAUUAUUCUUAUAAUAUAUUAAUAAAUCAUAAUUAAACCUUUCUCUCCUUAAUUCAUCCUACAUAUUGCUAUGGUGAAGGCAACCCAAAAGGACCAUGCUCAUAAUCAGGUCAAGUACAUACCAAAAUAGUUAUGGACUUAGACACUAAUCCAAUAGUCUCCCACUUGGAUAAGUCUAAUAACUAUUUUCCGUAUGACUUCAGAACCUGAUCAGAAAUCGUAGCUUUCAAAAGCCGUUAUCAACUCUGAUCUUAUCAGAUAGCGUGUCCUUUAGAUAAGGGAUUAUCAGACAUGAAUUUCAAUCAUUCUCUCAAUAUUGUUUCCCGACUUCCGAUUUAUGACGACUGACAACAGACUACAAUUGAACACAUCAACUUAGUCCCGGCUAGGCCAAGCGAUUAGGUGUUAUCACUAAAUCGUCGAGGGGCCCACAAAUAUCGUAUUUAUCCCACUUUGGGUAAAAGGAAUGUAUAAACUUUGACUCAUAUACUUGCUUGCAUUCACUGAUCGAAUCACACACAACAAUAAGUUUUAUAACACCAAGUUACUGGUGCGUUUAAUUAUUAUCAAUGUGCAACCGACCAACAAAUAACAACUUACACAUCUCGGUUUCAAGAAUAUACAAUAUUAUCAUCUAACUAAUCACUCAUGAUAAAUCCAUGAAGUGAUCCAAGUGAGCAUGGGUUUAAUACAAUACUCUAAUCUUAUCAAAGCACUCAUGAACCCUACAGCAAACUUGUGCUAUGUCUAAACUCUUCAGACAAUCUACAAACUCUUCACGACAGUCUUCCUUCAUACUUACUUCCAACAUAUGACCGACUGUGGAGGUUCAAAUAACCCAGUUAUUCUGGAAGUCAAAGCAUGCAAACUGAAACACAACAAUAAUACUUAAUCCUAUAUGGCCCCAAACUUGUGGGAGUAAAUAAAACACUUCUAUUUAAAUACCAUUUUGAUUACUCAUUAUUCAUCGUUUACAGUUUCAAAAAAUCAACUUAUUACUCAAAUUACGACGAUAGUUGUCCCAUGCAGAAAGCAUGCACACUAUGUUUCCUAUGGUCCUUACUUUGUGAGAUAGAUCAAUUGAAAAACUUUUUCCAAUGAUGCUCUGUAACAGCCCGGAACCUCAGGUAUUAUUAAAAUUAUGUUUUUGGGGUGAUUUAAGAGGGGACUCGGCGAGUUGGUGCCUAGACUCGCCGAGUAGGAUCGCGGACUUGGUCGCGGGUCCGCGACUGGACUCGACGAGUCCAGAUAUGGACUCGGCGAGUCGACGCUGUUCAGCAGAAACCCUAACCGUUCAAGGUUGGGACGUAUAAAAGGGGUCCAUUGGCCGUCAUUGUUCGUUUUUGCCUUCUGAGAGGAACCCUAAAUCGAUUAAGUGCAGCAGGAGCAAGGAUCUUAGGCCAUUAUUGGUUAGAGAAGAGUGGGUGUGCAAGGAAGAGGGAGGAUUGGCUAAAAGAGCAGCAAGGGGGUCACAUUCUGAGGUUGGGAAUACAGAGAACACAUCAUCCAGGUAAGAAUUCGUGUUUGCUCUGUUAUUUUGAUGUAAUUAUGAAAUUAGGGUUUAUAGAACCCAUUUAGUGAUUUGAUGAAGAAAUGCCUUGUUACCCCACGAUUAUAGUCUUGUAUUAGGACCUUUAGAGGUCCAGAAGGUCCCAUGCAUGUGUACUUCGGGACGAGACCUAUCCCAGGAAGCAGUUACUCGUCUGCAUGGCAUGGACUCGCCGAGUUGUUCUUCAGACUCGGCGAGUAGCUUGAAGAUGUGCUGGGACUCGCCGAGUUGUUCAUCAGACUCGGCGAGUGGAGUCGGGGUGGCCCCGCGAUUCUUCCACGAGGACCUCGUCGAGUCAAGAGGUAUACUCGACGAGUAGAAAGGGAAUAUUCAGGAAUCUGUGAGGACGACUAGACUCGCCGAGUCGCCAUGGUACUCGCCGAGUCCAGUCGAGUUGACCGUUGACCGUUGACCAGAGUUGACCUAAGUCUGACUUCUUAGGGAUAGUCACACUUAGAUGAUAUGAGUGUUAAUGAGUUAUGUAAUGUUAUAGGAGGGUUGUAGCUCGUUGGUUUGUGCGCGAGUGAUUUCAGGAGUUGCUAGCUUUCAGCACUUACGAGGUGAGUCUUCUCACUAUACUGUACCCGGAAGGGUUUGACUGUGUGACCGGAAGGUCAAGUAUGUUAUGUAUUAUGUUUAUAUGCUAUAAGUGGUAAGUUAAGUGUUAUAUGGAUAUGUAUGCUAUAAGUGGUAAGUUAAGUGUUAUAUGGAUAUGUAUGCUAUAUGUGGUAAGUUAAGUGUUAUAUGUGCUAUGUAUGAUAUGUGGGCCGGAAGGCAAUAUGUUAUGGGCCGGAAGGCGAUUAUGUUAUGGGCCGGAAGGCGUUGUAAUGAGGACCGGAAGGUCAGGGCCUGGAAAGGCGUAUGUGCGUAAGUGUAUAUUGGGGAACUCACUAAGCAUUUAUGCUUACAGUUGUUGUGCAUGUAUUUCAGGUACUAGCGAGGACCGUGGGAAGGCGCCGGCAUGAUCGAUACACACUGAAGAUUGUUUUAUGAUCUUGGGAGUUUGAAUAAUUGUAUUGACCGAAUAAUUAAACUGUUUAUGCCUUGUUUUUAAUGGAAAUAAUUAUGUUUUAAAAAUGAAAAAUUUGUUUGAAAAAUUUGAGUUGUUACAAUUGGUAUCAGAGCCUUGGUUUGAGGGAUUCGGGUGCACCUUCGGGGGUAACUGAACUCAAACCGAGGAUUUGAGGAAACUUUUCAAAUAAAGGCAUAAACUUUUGUAAAUGGUUUUGUGGUAAGCAAGAAAGAAGCAGUGUGUACGAUCAGUCAGCGCCCGAACGGUAAAGAUCCCCAAAAUACCUUACAAUAUUAUAUGAUAUGAAUUGUUAUGCAUGCUAGAAGACUAGGUAUUCAUGAUAGGACUAGAGUGGCCUGAUUUGUGAUGCCUUAGUCUAGGGAAGUUGCCUAUAUGAGAUGCUUUGCUAGUAUGCGGGUAGAUAGAGCGUAUCAGAAGUAGAGUACUCACUAUCCGGAGUUUGGGGAGGAGGACUUGGGAUGAACAUUGAUGCGGUGUGGUCGGUAGUAUUGGGCCCGUACUACCGAGGACACCGGGUCAGUGGGAGGCCCAAGUAAGAAUCCCUGGAUAUCUGGGACUGAGUAGGGUUGCGUAUCGAGUACGAUUAUACUCGGUAGAAUCUCUGAUAGUUUUAUGUUGUAUUUCAGAGAUAUCAUGGUUAGACCGCGUCACGGAGCAAGUACGAGCGGUGUGAGUGACGAGGAUAUUCGUCAGAUGAUCCACGAGGAGGUGGCGGCGGCGAUCCGGGCUGAGAUCCCGGAGAUGUUUGGGUCUAUCAAGACCACCCUGAUGGAGACGUUCGACGAGCGGUACGCCGCAUUGACUGAGGCUGCAACCGCUGCAGCUACCGCAGCUGUGGCCGCUGCUAGGCCACAGGGGGGUGAUUCAUUGCUGUUCCGAGAGUUCAGCAACACGAAGCCACCAGAGUUCGAUGGGACGCAGGAUCCGAUUGCUGCGAUGAGGUGGAUCGCAGAUAUAGAGGGGUGCUUCUACACUUGUUCAUGCCCGGAGCACCUGAGGGUACGGUUCGCUUUGAACCAGCUCCGUCUGGGAGCAAAGGACUGGUGGAAGUUCGUGACGGCGAACUUCACUUUGGCAGAGACUGCGGCAGUGACAUGGGAGGGGUUCACUACCAUGUUCAGGGAUGAGUACGUUCCCCCGGUGGAGCGGGAACGAUUGGUUCAGGAGUUCUUAACCCUCAAGCAGGGUACUGAUUCGGUGGCGGCGAUCACGCGGAAGUUCCAUGAGAGGGCGAUGUUUUGCCCCGAGCUGGUGGCCACAGAGCAGGCUCGGAUGAGCCGGUACUUGGGUGUUCUGAGGAGGGAGAUCCGGGAGUUUGUGUCAAACUCCACUUACCAUACUUUUACUGAGCUUCAGGCGAAUGCCAGGAAGCGUGAGAUCGAGUUAGAGACUCAGGCCAGGGAGGAGGCCGAGUCUCAGCAGGCAGACCGGCGACCGGCUCAGUCUCAGCCGGCAGCCAAGCGGAUCAAGUCCGCCGAUUCGAGGACGGGAGGUUCGAAGAACCGCACUUGCGUAAAGUGCGGUAAGGGUCACGAUGGGGCGUGUCGAGCCGGUGCUUGCUACAAGUGUGGCAAGGAGGGACACAUUGCUAGGGAGUGUCCCAAGGGAUUUAUGGUUUGCUUUCAUUGCAACCAGACCGGCCAUCGGAAGGCCGAGUGCCCUCAGCUUCGUCAGGGAUCUGCACCUGUUGCCAGGACUACUGAGACUCGACCGGUGAAGGUCGAGGCCCCGAGGGCUCGUGGGAGAGCCUUUCAGCUGACUGCGGAGGAGGUCCGCGCUGCGCCCGAUGUUGUGGCAGGUAUGUUGUAAUUCAUGUAAUUAUUUUAAUGUCGAUAUGUUAUGCUUAUGUUAUUAUGCGCGUAGGUACUUUCCUUGUGAACUCUGUGCCUGCCUUAGUGUUAUUUGACUCGGGUGCGAGUAGGUCCUUUGUGUCCUUGGCCUUUAGUCAGCAUAUUGGCGUUAGUCGUGAGUCGUUGAGUCGACCUUUGAGAGUCUCUAUAGCUGACGAGAAGGUGAUUUGUGCUACGGAGGUUCUUCGGGGAUGUGUACUAGAGAUUUUCGGGGUUGGAUUCCCGAUUGAUCUGAUUCCUAUCGCGAUGGGGGAUGUCUGUGUCAUCGUGGGCAUGGACUGGUUGAGCCGGUUCGGCGCUGUCAUCGACUGUGAGCGUCAGUUGGUGACUAUACGAGACCCUAGUGGGGGAGUUCUUUCGGUAUACGGCGAGGGUACCCGUUCGGGAUCAGCUUUUUGUUCGGCCGCUAGGGCGAGGCAGUGUCUACGGCAGGGCUGUAAGGGUUUCGUGGCGUAUGUGAUGGAUACGCGGGAGGUUUCUGAGAAACCGAAGUCAGUUGAGGAAGUUCCGGUGGUGCGCGAGUUUUCAGAUGUCUUUCCCGAGGAGUUGCCGGGAGUACCGCCUGUGAGGCAAGUAGAGUUUAGUAUCGAUCUGGUUCCGGGGGCAGCGCCUAUUGCUAAAGUGCCCUAUCGUCUUGCACCUCCAGAGAUGCAAGAGUUGUCCUCGCAACUCCAGGAGUUGCUGGGAAAGGGAUUCAUUCGGCCGAGCAGCUCGCCAUGGGGAGCACCUAUUCUGUUCGUCAAGAAGAAGGAUGGUUCACACCGGAUGUGCAUUGAUUACCGGGAGUUGAACAAGCUAACGGUCAAGAACCGUUACCCGUUGCCGAGGAUCGAUGAUUUAUUCGAUCAGUUGCAGGGAGCAUCUUGGUUUUCCAAGAUCGAUCUGAGGUCAGGAUACCAUCAGGUGAGAGUACGGGAUGAGGACGUCCAGAAGACAGCGUUUAGGACGCGAUAUGGGCAUUAUGAGUUUGUGGUGAUGCCUUUUGGACUCACCAAUGCCCCGGCUGUGUUCAUGGAUCUCAUGAACAGGGUAUGCAGGCCGAUGUUGGAUCGGUCAGUGAUUGUAUUUAUCGACGACAUUCUGGUGUAUUCGAGAUCUAGAGAGCAGCAUGAGGAGCAUUUGAGGGAGGUCCUUGAGGUAUUGAGGUCGGAGAAGCUUUAUGCAAAGUUCUCCAAAUGUGACUUCUGGUUGCGGGAGGUCCAGUUUCUAGGACAUGUGGUUAAUCAGAAAGGGAUAUUGGUCGAUCCGGCCAAGGUUGAGGCGGUGAUGAGUUGGGAGGUGCCGAAGUCACCCUCUGAGAUCAGAAGUUUCCUUGGGUUGGCAGGGUAUUAUCGGAGAUUUAUCAAGGAUUUCUCCAAGAUCGCAGUGCCACUCACCAGAUUGACCCGGAAGGGUGUUACAUUCUCAUGGGGGCCCGAGCAGCAGACCUCCUUUGAGACACUUCGCCAGAGAUUGUGCGAAGCCCCGGUAUUAGCUCUCCCAGAAGGGAUGGAAGAUUUCGUGGUAUAUUGCGACGCAUCGAUUUCGGGAUUGGGUGCAGUGUUAAUGCAGAGGGGUCAUGUGAUAGCUUAUGCGUCGAGGCAGCUGAAGCCUCAUGAGGCGAGAUAUCCCACGCAUGAUUUAGAGUUGGGGGCAGUAGUGUUCGCUCUCAAGAUUUGGCGUCACUACUUGUAUGGGGUUCGAUGUACGAUAUACACGGACCAUAAGAGUUUGAAGUAUUUGAUGGAUCAACCCAACCUAAAUAUGCGUCAGAGGAGGUGGUUGGAUGUGGUCAAGGAUUAUGAUUGUGAGAUCCUGUACCACCCAGGCAAGGCUAAUGUGGUAGCCGAUGCAUUGAGCCGCAGGGCGGAGAGCACUCCAUUGCGAGACGUAUGCUUGAGACUGACUGUGAUGACUCCAGUAUUGGACGCUAUUCGUGGGGCCCAGGCUGAGGCUGUGCGACCAGAAAUGCAGAAGAAAGAGCGGGUUGUGGGGUUAAUCUCAGAGUUUGUCAAGGAUAGUCGAGGCCUUAUGACGUUUCAGGGUCGGAUUUGGGUGCCGUUCGUGGGCGGUACGCGUAUUACGUUGAUGGAAGAGGCUCAUAAAUCGAAAUUCUCGAUCCAUCCCGGUGCUACAAAGAUGUAUUUGGAUUUAAGGAAGGAAUAUUGGUGGCCCUGUAUGAAGAGGGACGUGGCAUGGUUCGUUGAGAGGUGCUUGACCUGCCGUAGGGUUAAGGCUGAGCACCAGAGACCGCAUGGCAAGUUACAGCCAUUGGAGAUCCCCGAGUGGAAGUGGGAACAGAUUACUAUGGAUUUUAUCACCAAAUUGCCGAGGACUGCUAGGGGAGUUGACGCAAUUUGGGUGAUCGUGGAUAGGUUGACAAAGAGUGCACACUUCCUUGCCAUCAGUGAGAGUUCUUCGGCGGAGAAAUUGGCGGAGAUAUACGUGAGAGAGGUGGUAUCUCGGCACGGGGUGCCGAUCUCGAUUGUGUCAGACCGUGAUGUGCGCUUUACUUCCAGAUUCUGGAAGAAAUUCCAUGAGGAGCUGGGUACUAAAUUGCAUUUUAGUACCGCAUACCAUCCCCAGACAGACGGUCAGAGCGAGCGGACAAUUCAGACACUGGAGGACAUGCUCCGAGCGUGUGUGUUAGACUUCGGGGGUAGUUGGGAUGCGUAUUUACCAUUGGCAGAGUUUUCCUACAACAACAGCCAUCAUUCGAGCAUUGGUAUGCCGCCUUUCGAGCUGUUGUAUGGUAGGAGGUGUCGGACUCCCAUUUGCUGGGGAGAGGUGGGACAGAGAGUGAUGGGCAGCACGGAGAUCAUACUCCAGACGACAGAGCAGAUUCAACAAGUGAGACAAAGAUUAUUGACUGCCCAGAGCCGACAGAAGAGUUAUGCAGACAGGCGCCGAUCCGAGCUUGAAUUUCAAGUCGGCGACUUCGUUCUCCUGAAGGUCUCUCCUUGGAAAGGAGUGAUUCGGUUCAGGAAGAGAGGCAAGUUGGGGCCCCGGUAUAUUGGGCCAUUUCGUGUGAUUGCAAGGAUAGGUCGGGUAGCCUACCGGUUGGAGUUGCCAGCGGAGUUGGGUCAGAUCCAUGACACUUUUCAUGUGUCGCAGUUGAGGAAGUGCAUAGCCGAUGAGUCGGCAGUGGUUCCAUUGGAGGAUAUUCAGGUGGAUGCGAGCCUGAAUUACGCGGAGAGACCAGUGGCUAUCAGGGAUCGGAAGAUCAAGGUUCUGAGGAACAAGGAAGUACCUCUGGUGUUGGUUCAAUGGCAACACCGUAAGGGAUCAGAAAUGACUUGGGAACCGGAGCGCGAAAUGCGGGAGCAGCAUCCGGAACUAUUUGCAGAAUGAGACUUCGAGGGCGAAGUCUAAUCCAAGUGGGGGAGAAUUGUAACAGCCCGGAAUCUCAGGUAUUAUUAAAAUUAUGUUUUUGGGGUGAUUUAAGAGGGGACUCGGCGAGUUGGAGCCUAGACUCGCCGAGUAGGAUCGCGGACUUGGUCGCGGGUCCGCGACUGGACUCGACGAGUCCAGAUAUGGACUCGGCGAGUCGACGCUGUUCAGCAGAAACCCUAACCGUUCAGUUUGGAUCGUAUUUAACGCCUCUUAGGCCGUCAUUUUCAGUCUUUUGGUCAAUUGAGAGGAACCCUAAUCGCUGUGGACGCCUAGAGCAAGGGAGAAAGCUUUGGAACUUGGAAGAAUUGGUUAGGCAAGAAGAAGAGGGAUUUGGCUAAAGGAAUAUCAAGGAGGAUUGAGUCCUGAGAUUUGGGGGACACAGAGAGUGCGUUUUCAGGUAAUACUCGGACCAAAUCUGUUAUUUUGAUGUAUUUAUGAAAUUAGGGUUUAUAGAACCCAUUUAGUGAUUUGAUGAAGAAAUGCCUUGUUACCCCACGAUUAUAGUCUUGUAUUAGGACCUUUAGAGGUCCAGAAGGUCCCAUGCAUGUGUACUUCGGGACGAGACCUAUCCCAGGAAGCAGUUACUCGUCUGCAUGGCAUGGACUCGCCGAGUUGUUCUUCAGACUCGGCGAGUAGCUUGAAGAUGUGCUGGGACUCGCCGAGUUGUUCAUCAGACUCGGCGAGUGGAGUCGGGGUGGCCCCGCGAUUCUUCCACGAGGACCUCGUCGAGUCAAGAGGUAUACUCGACGAGUAGAAAGGGAAUAUUCAGGAAUCUGUGAGGACGACUAGACUCGCCGAGUCGCCAUGGUACUCGCCGAGUCCAGUCGAGUUGACCGUUGACCGUUGACCAGAGUUGACCUAAGUCUGACUUCUUAGGGAUAGUCACACUUAGCUGAUAUGAGUGUUAAUGAGUUAUGUAAUGUUAUAGGAGGGUUGUAGCUCGUUGGUUUGUGCGCGAGUGAUUUCAGGAGUUGCUAGCUUUCAGCACUUACGAGGUGAGUCUUCUCACUAUACUCCACCCGGAAGGGUUUGACUGUGUGACCGGAAGGUCAAGUAUGUUAUGUAUUAUGUUUAUAUGCUAUAAGUGGUAAGUUAAGUGUUAUAUGGAUAUGUAUGCUAUAAGUGGUAAGUUAAGUGUUAUAUGGAUAUGUAUGCUAUAUGUGGUAAGUCAAGUGUUAUAUGUGCUAUGUAUGAUAUGUGGGCCGGAAGGCAAUAUGUUAUGGGCCGGAAGGCGAUUAUGUGAUGGGCCGGAAGGCGUUGUAAUGAGGACCAGAAGGUCAGGGCCUGGAAAGGCGUAUGUGUGUAAGUGUAUAUUGGGGAACUCACUAAGCAUUUAUGCUUACAGUUGUUGUGUAUGUAUGUAUUUCAGGUACUAGCGAGGACCGUGGGAAGGCGCCGGCAUGAUCGAUACACACUGAAGAUUGUUUUAGGAUCUUGGGAGUUUGAAUAAUUGUAUUGACCGAAUAAUUAAACUAUUUAUGCCUUGUUUUAAUGGAAAAUAUUAUGUUUUAAAAAUGAAAAAAUUUGUUUGAAAAAUUUGAGUUGUUACAUGCUCAUUUCACAAUUCCCAAUUCUUAUCAUUAGUGUCAGAACACAAAGUUCUUGCCACUACUAGAAUAUGCUAGAUUCUAACAUUUUAUGCAACGAUCCUUUCGCAAAGUCAUAGCACAAAAGUCACCAAGACUUGGUCAAUCAAAUUACAAAGUACUUAUCGGAAAUUCUUACAAGACAAUUCCAUAGACGCGAAGUCUCCCAUUCAAAGUACAUUCCUUUGAACAUGCUUCUUGCAUAAAAUUUUCUAAUCUAGACAUAGAAUCUCAAUAUCCAAUUCCCAAUAUGGAAACAUUUCCAUAUUUUGCAUACGACAACUCAUUUUUAGUAGAAUCUUAUCUAUUCAUAAUAAUGUCGAUAUGGUCCAUCCAAUAUCAUACUUCCAACUACUCACAAGCGACCAAUCCUCAGCGAUCUUUGGAUCAUCCUUUGAUAGUUGUUUGAUUAUUUUAGUGAAAACCGAUUCUAGUCCUUUUUCCUUAUUAAUGCGCUAGACAUUUGGAAAAUUUAAGAAUGGUCAAAUAUUAUAGCAUUUGCAAUCGAUCCUAUACCCGAAGCGUAUGGGACACGAUGCAUAAUGUCUUACAUAAAGAUAUGAUACUUUAUCAAUCUUCUGCCAUAAUAUUUUAAGUGUCACGUUCUCACAAUUCGAACUAUGAAGAGGGAUACCGUAAUCAUAAUCGAAAUUUGAGAACACGCUAUGUAUCCUUUGACUAAAUUUAUUAAAAUUUCUCAAUCUAAGCUUUAGAUAUUGAAACGAAGUAUAAUAUUCUCUCCCUUAAUUAUAGCAAAACAACUUCUCAACCCUUGCGACUUUGCAAAGUGAAUCUUUGUUUUCUAUAAUUACUAUUGGUAACUUGCAAUACUUGCCAUAAUAAUAAUACAAGCAUAACACUUAUGCUCCCACUAUCAUGAUGAUUAUUAUCAUAUAAGCAUAACACUUAUGCUCCCACUAGCUUUGACAUGUAUUCAGAGAACAGCCGAACUUCUAGAAAACAAUGCCUAUUGAAUUUCUAAAGUUCAUAUUUCUAAUACUAGAUGCUUCAAUAAGCCUUUAUCUAAGCUUCUUAAACUUAUAUACCUUUGCCUUAGAUAGCUCAUAUGUGUGUCUAAACAAUUCAGAACUAAUAUCAAUAAGUCCCAAAUGUUAGACUAAUUGCCGAAUCUCACAAUUCGAAUUAUGGAAAGGGAAGCCGUAACCAUAAUCGAAUUUGAGAAUACAGUUUUCACAAUUGCUAUCUUCUUAAAAUCUCUGUUAGUGAAAGCAUUUCCUCACAGUCAUUUUCAUGAAGGAGGGAAUCUUAUGACACUUAGAUUAUUUGGUGUAUGAGUUCCUAUCCAUGUGAAUUUGCCAAAACCAAGUUUGCGACAAAUCCAAAGUCAUAUGGACUAAACUUUCUUAAUCUUGAUUUCUUGCCUUAUGGUGACACGAGUGCUCACCAUGUCUUCCAAGUGGUUUAGCAACUUAUCCUUACACAUCAAUGUACUUUCCAUCGAUCAAGGUACUUUGUCUUUAUGCAUUCAAUGAGAACUCAUAGAACUCACAUACAUAAUUAACUCAAAUCAAAUGGCACAAAAACAAAAUAAUGUCAACCAGAUAGGUUGUAAACCUCAAGUCGUGUGCUAGUGAUGAUUGAUAAGGUUUAUUCUUGAUUUGUUCUUGAAACCUUUUUCAAGAUCAUUAAAACUCCCACUGACCUCUUGACAUAUAUGAUUCUCUUGUUAGAAAACUUUUCUUGACAAAACAAAUAUUCAAGAGUUAGUGUAGUUCUUAUCAAGACAAAACAUUUCACAUGAUUGGUCAUAGUUGGUCUUUGUCUUAUCCAAGACAGCACAACUUACCAAUUUCAAAUGUGCAAGAAUGAGAAAACUUUUCCAAAUUCCACAUUUGUUGAGCGUUAUAAACCUACUAAAGACUUGCCACUCAAUUCACAAUCUUGGUGUAUGACUCUAAGAUUCGAUAUUGGAAUGAAGUAUGAUUGACUUAUUGAUUUAACCAUUUCCACAAUUCCCGAGUCUUCUUCUUAGACCUACAAAUGUACUAAGCCUCACUUAGAGGAUCAAUUGAGAUAUGGUUCUUAAUCAGUAAGACUUUAUCAUAAAACACAAUAAAAGGUACUCUCCCUUCUUCUUAGAAUAGAGAAACUUUUAUCUUUCUGCCUACUUGAUCCUUCUUUAUUCGUUCUGCAAUUCAUUGAAAAUCUUUCAAUCAACUCAGAGUUACACUUAAUCUUAUAAGUAUAAUCAUAUUUACUAAACUUUAGUAAAUCAUGACGAAUAUCUUUAUCACUCUUGUGGUGGACUUGAUUGAUACACAACAUUGCGAACUCGAUCUCCUAGUCCUUCACUUGACUCUUUGUCAAUGAAUUAGCCUUGAAAUUCCAGUUAUAAAAUUUCUCAUUCAUCACGCAACCAAGUUGUAUGAUUCCAAGUUUCUGUCCAAUUGAAACCUGGGCGAUGAGAAACUCUCCCUAUUUGGUAAAUUCUCGACAUUUCCACAAAUAACAUAAUUAAGAAUCAAAUCCAUUAUUGCUAAUAAUAGAAACUUUCAAACAUCAAUUUUUCAUACACGCCAUUGCAAGGAUAAAUAAAUAAGAUAAAAUCAAAAAUUCAUUUUAUUGUGGAAAAAAUUUGUCCUUACAAUAGAAACCUGGGCGAUGAGAAACUCUCCCUAUUUGGUAAAUUCUCGACAUUUCCACAAAUAACAUAAUUAAGAAUCAAAUCCAUUAUUGCUAAUAAUAGAAACUUUCAAACAUCAAUUUUUCAUACACGCCAUUGCAAGGAUAAAUAAAUAAGAUAAAAUCAAAAAUUCAUUUUAUUGUGGAAAAAAUUUGUCCUUACAAUACAAUUCAAUUGAAAAAACUAUGUUAUUACAUAUUUCUUAGCAAUCUAUUCUAACUCUAAGUAGUAGCUCAAGAAUCUAAUCUUCAAGCAAUGCGAUCGAAAUCCAUUUCUUCACGAUUAGAUUCAGCUCACUUCUUCCCUUAAGCUUCCCCUCUUUUCUUCAAUUCUACAAAACAUCAAAAUGUAAUCUUAUCACAUCAUGUAUUAAGAAUCUAGAAUAGGAACUUAAAAGAGUUAGAUAAUAGAUUUCACCUGAAGUAGAGCCAUACGUUUUGACUCUUCCAUCUCUUAGAUCUCUCAGGUAAAUAGGGCAGCUUUGUCUCUAAUGCCCCUUCUCUUGGCAAUAAAAGCACAUGGACUCUUUUGGAAUGGCACAAGGAACUAUCUCGGAAUUUACCUUUUCUGGAUCUCCAAUAUCACCAUUUUCAAUAUCCAUUGAAGUUUGGGAGUUUGAUUCACCAGACAAAUUUGCUUGACCAGCUUGCCAAAUCAUCGCUAAUUCAGUAGCUAUAAGCAAAUACGUCAAAUAAUUGAGGGUCACAUCAUGAUCCAUCAUAUAGUACUCUCUAACGAACUCACUAUAUGAUUCAGGAAGUGACUGAAGAACCCAAUCAACAGCCAACUCCUUGGGGAUGACAACACCCAACAUACCUAACCUGUCAAUGUGUGACUUCAUCUUUAAGACGUGUGUACACACAGACUUUCCAUCUUCAUGCUUAAUUGCCAAUAGGGCUAGAGUGAGCUUGAACUUUUCAAGCCUUCGAACUUGUGGGUUAGGGAGAACAAUUUGAGGAGGUGGAGGAAGUGAAGCAUGAUUUCUUGUUCCUCGAUCAUAUUGUGGAAUAUCAUCUUCGUUUGGAAAACUUGUUCCAAGGGAUUUGGGAAGACCAUGAUUGUCAAAAUUAGAGAUCUAAAAAACGGGAGAAAAUUCAAGUUAAGUUGAUUAGAAUUCUUGAUGUAACACCCAAAUGAAACAUCAAGGCUAGGAUCCAACACAAUACUCUACAACCUAGAAGAGGGAUGUCGUGAUCUAGUGGUAGAAUAUUUGAAGGUAGGUAAAUGAGGAUUUACCAAUUUCUACCAUGAAAAACGAAAAGGAAGUUUAAGUUUUAAACAAAUUAAAACUCCUAGAUCUUUUGAGAUUCAUUGAACAUUUCAAUGGCAUGUUCAAUCUCAAUCAUGCCCUACUAUUUAUGACUGGGAUGCCGAGGAUCACAAAUAAGGUGUGAAUAACCAUACGAAUCACGUGGUGCACUCAAUGCUACUAUCACCUAAUCAAUGUGCCGGUUAGCUACACACGCUCCAUUGAUCUAUGAAAAACAUCGAGUCACCCUUUGCUACCAAUGUCAUGCCCAAAUUUGUGUGUCGGUUAACCACACACGCUCCACUAACGUUUGACAAGGGUACGAAGUGUAAUUCCAUUGAUUAGCAUACAAUUUCACAUUUUUCCUAAAGUAACUAUGAUUUGGGAAUUUGUAAAAGCAUUUAGUUACUUUGUACUCCAUUAUACUUAUAAUGGAAGGUUUCUGUCCUAUCCUACCCGUUCGGCUAACGAACCUCCACUAGUCCAAAGUGCGGUGGGUAAGAGUGGAUACCCAUUCAAUCGCCAUUUUAUAGGCAAUUUUCUUAAACACCCCUUAUAGACCAGCUUCGUGAAUGAGGCCUACAAACGGUAAGACUGACUCUUUACUCAUAUAUAUAUAUAUAUAUUGUAUAGGGUGUAUUUUACACUUUUAAAAUACUAGGUGGUCUAAUUUAAUAAAUUAUACUUUUAAUUUAACUAAAUGUAAACCAAAACUUUAUGGAUUUAUUAAANGGUGUAUUUUACACUUUUAAAAUACUAGGUGGUCUAAUUUAGCAAAUUAUACUUUUAAUUCAUUUAAAUGUAAACCAAAACUUUAUGAGUUUAUUAAAUCUCUUUUAAUUAUACACUUUAAUUAAUUAAUAAAACCGUAAGGGUGUGAUUUGAACUUUUCAAAUUACCAGGGUUUUAGAAUUUAAAAUUUCAAAUUAAGACUUUUAAUUAAUUUUAAAAUCCAAAACUUGAGGGCAAGUUUUGAAACUUUUCAAAACAUUAGGGUUUAACUUAUUUAAAUUUCAAAAACAAAACUUUUAAGUUCAAAUUUAAACUAUAAAACCUAAAGGGUGAAAUUGAAACUUUUUCACAAGAUAAUUCAAAUCUAAAUUACAAAUAAUCAAUAUUUAUCUAAUAAAGCAAAAGAUUAUCUAAAUUUUACAAUUAUCUUCAAUUUUGGCAAGGAUAAACUCCAAAUAUUGAUAAAAAUUGGAUUUUAUUAAUAUAAAACGUUUUAGGUAAUUAUCUACAGCCAAAACAGGAAGAAAAUCACGAAAUAUACUCCAUCUGCGACUCCGACUCGUCGAGUCAAGCUUGGACUCGUCGAGUUCAGCCAUGGACUCGACGAGUCCAGCCCCCAGAACCAAAAAAAUUUCGAUAUUAAGCAUGAAUAACAACUAUAUCAUCAAAUAUAUCAAAUACACAGCCCUAGGCUCUGAUACCACUGAUGGGUUUCGAGCAAAAUAUCAAUCCUGUGGUGUACAUGCAAAGCCUAAUAGCUUUUGGAUCUAGUUUUUCUAAUGAACAUGCAAUUGAAUAUCCAAAGCUCUAAACCCUAGAUCGAUCAUAUAAUAACUGAAAUAAGGGUGUAGUAAUUACCUUUGAUUGUUAUAUUGCAAUAACAAUCAAUUCCUUGCUUUGACUGGCUUCAGAAAGCUUAGUGCCUCAAGUGCUGCACCUCUAAUGGAGUCACAAACACCACUAAGCAACUAGAUGAAGAAGGAGAAAAGAAAAGGCACCCAAAACGUCUAGAAACCCUAAGGAAUCAGUGACCCACGUUUUGGGGCCUAAGGGUUCCUUUAUAUACUUGUGUGGGCUGCUAGGGUUUCAGUCAAAACCCUAAUGGACAACUUAACCUCUAAGCAGCCCAUGGAACCUUCUGGGAUAAGGCCAUGGACGAAAAUAUGAUGGGCUCCCACCAUAAUUUCGUUCACCCUUUGUUCCUUUAGCAUUCCUUAGCCCAAUAACUCAAUUAUCCAAUAAUUGCAGUCUAGUCCGCUAAAUUUAAUUAAUCUCUUUUAGCCAUAAAAUUAAUUAUGAAUUAAUUCUUGACUAAUAUUCAUUAAACAAUAUGAUUUCUCCUUUAAUAUAUUAUUCUUAUAAUAUAUUAAUAAAUCAUAAUUAAACCUUUCUCUCCUUAUUUCAUCCUACAUAUUGCUAUGGUGAAGGCAACCCAAAAGGUCAAUGCUCAUAAUCGGGUCAAGUACAUACCAAAAUAGUUAUGGACUUAGACACUAAUCCCAUACUUUCGUAUAGAUUUAUCCCAUCCCUAACCAACAUGGAUCAUUAGCCCAACCUAUACAUAUUACUGAUUUACCUAAUCAGUCCCUGUAAAUUUAAUCAGUCUCUUUUGAUCACUAAAUCAAUUCCAAAUUAAUUCUAGACCAAUAUUAAUUAAAUAUGAUGAUUUCUCAAUUCAUAUAUUAUUCCUAUAAUAUAUUAAUAAAUCACAAAUAACCUCUUUCUCAAAUGUCCAUCCUAUCAAAUUGCUCUGGUGAAUGCAACCCAAAAGGACCAUGCUACUAUUGGGUCAAGUACAUACCAAUUAUAGUUGAGGGCUUAGACACCUAAUCCAACAAGUUGCACCUGCUUUCCUUAGUCCAACGAGUAUCUUCCUAUAGCAAAAUUUCACCAUUUUUGUAUGAAAAGUCGUCUUAUCUUCGUCUUCCUUUUCCAUCUAAACCUAAUGAUACCCUUUGUAUGCAUCCAUACACGUCUUCCAUUUAUGGCCUCUUAAAGAUUCUGUCUUCUGCUCAUUCUAUGGAAGCGGGUAGAAAUCCUUCAGACAAGCUUUUAUUCAAACUGGUGAAAUCCCUCACAUCCUCAUUCAACUUUCACUUUUUGUUACUAAAACGGAUUUGAGAUCUAGAGCGGGAACCGGGUAACCUGAACUACCCUUGCAUGGACUAGCUCUGGUACCUUCUGAUUGACGAUGAUGUUUUGUUCACUCACAAUUAUUCUCUUCCUCUGCUUAAUAGGUGGGAAACCAGGCUUGAUGUUUAAGCAAUGUUCAAUGAUAGACAUGGGAAUCCAUGUCCUGUCUUUCAGCCUCCAUGUGAACACAUCAGAGUACUUGGCUAGAAGUUUUGUUAGACCGUGCUUGAGAUCGCUCGGUUGCUUCAUCUUGAUCUUUACCAAUUGAUCCUUAAUUUAAGGGACCAAAAUUACCUCCUCCUCUUCCACCAAAGCACUAGCGUCUUUCUCCUUCUAAGGAGGUUCUGCAGUAUUGCUCUAUUCAGUGCGCUUCAUCGGUAUAUUCCUGAGAGUGAUGAUACCAUGUUCCGAAGGAAACUUUAGGAAACUGUGCAGUGUUGAUGGAACAAAUUCUAGCUAUUAUAUCCCGCUUCUUCCUAAGAUCAUGUUAUAUGGUGAAGAUGCCCUAAUAAUGAUGAAGUCUGCCAAUAUGUUUUUAACAUCUCUUUUUGAUAGUCCACCAAUGUGAAAGGUAAAUAAAUUUUCCCUGCAAGCCACAGUCCUUGCCCGACGAAUCCCACAACUUUUGCAGUGGUCGGUUCAAUGAAAUUUCUAACAACCUCUGAAAACUGAGCCAAGCAAUGAGAAUAUAUGAUAUUGACUGAACUUCCAUUAUCUACAUAUAUUCGAUGAAUGAGAAUCUUAGCAAACGAGCCUUUAAUUACCAAUGUUUUGGUUCCCUGGUGGCCGAGUGGAAUGGGACCGUUUGGAGAAAACUCUAGCCCGACCCACUUUUUUUUGUUGGUAACCGAUUAUCCCCCAACCGCAACAUCAUCACCUCGACGUUAUAUACCAUUUGUUCCGUCUAGUCAUGCCAGACAUCUUUGCCUGCGACCCUUCCCUCUUUGUUUUUUUUCUUCAGACAUUCGCAGCCACUAGUCGCAUUUCCUAAAUUUUUAUGAAAGUCAUAGUAUUGAUCAGGGUCCUGAUGGUAACUUCUUUGGGGGUUAUCACUAUUAUCCUUUCUCAUCUCUUUCUGAGGUCGUACCUCAUAUGCUUCUUAUCUAUAAGGGUUAGCCCUAUUGUGGUACCUUCCCUUAUCUCAUCGUUUUGUCUGAGACUACCUUCCUGUCCAUCCAGGGGCAUCUUGACCGGAUCUUUGGGCCGCGAUGAGGCCUUUUUGCUUACGCUCCGAGAGGUGGGCCUCUCCUCUCUCCAUGCUUAUUUUUUCUACAUUUUCAUCUUUUUGACCUAGAAUUCAAUUAACUUUUUAGCUCCUCUGUGUUAUUCCAAUCUCAUCCCACCAACUUACGGAAGAGCUCACCCGUUAGUAACCCAUAUGUGAAAGUUGCUAUGAUCUUCGAAUCUUCCCUGGUGGGCAUCUUUCUGCUUAUCUCAUUGAAACGCUUGAAAGAAGCCUUGUUCGACUCCCCUUCUCUCUAUCUGCAUGCGAAUAUUGUGUUGGCUUGUUGUUGAAACCUUUGUUGCUGCAUGAAACUAUUACAGAACACCUGGCACAUCUCCUCAAAGUUGUUUAUGCUCCUUUAGGGAAGACUUGCUAGCAAGUAGCAAGCUGGACCAUAUAGUGUUCCCGAAAAAAUUCAAUCACCAUAAAUUUGGAUUCACGGGAAUCAUCUUAAUUGCCCACUAAAAUUUAGAUACAUGGUCGUGCAGGUCUCCUGUUCCAUCAUAUGACUUCAUUGUUGGUCCUUUCAGACCUACGGGGAUGGGUGUGUCGUGUAUGUCAUCAGUAAACAGGUUUAUGAAGUUUAGCUCUCCCAGAGCCCCAUCAGAUCCCCUUCAGUUUUCCUUUCCAUGUGAAUCUCUAGACCUUCACUCUUCCUGAGUUUAUGGUCUCCCGAGUUCUUCCUCCGUCUCUUUCCCAGUUGCUGCACUCGAACGUCGUGUAUGCAUUAACACCCGGUCAUCAUUAUUCUUUUCUCAUGUUUGUUUCUUUUCCUUGUUGCUCUGUAGUCUUUUCAUAUCUUUAAAUCUUUGAAACUCUUCAAAGUCCCUCAUACAUUUCUCAUUUUGCAUCUAUUUUUCACAAUAAAGGGCAUCCGUUUCCCUUGCCACUAUGAUUAUCUGAGGUGCUUCACCCAUGCGGCUCCAACGGUUACAUCCUCGUGACCGAACUGUUUUUAACGUUGUUGGUAGGAUUUUUGGUAGUGACCAUUUUUUUUUGGUCCCACGGAUGGCACCACGUGAUGUGUAUCCAGAUUUUAGUCCCUGAUGAUCCUAACGACUCGAAGAUGCUUUAGGUCCAAAUUCUGAGAUAACAAUACACAAGUGAGUUGUCCAUCGGGAUUGCUCCUGGGAGAAUGCUCUCAUGAUGAAGUCAUAAAGUGAUAGAGCAAGUUACAAUUGUGUAAUGACCCAAAAAUCAAGGAUAAAAAUUUCAUUUUUAAUAUAGCUAAAACAUUAAUACCGUUUAUUUCUAACAUUUCCAAUCAUCGUUAAGUAAAACAUUUAUCAGAGCUCAUAAUCAUCCACUAUGGAAAUCAUAGGUGCGUGCACUGCGAUUAAUCCAAGCGUGUCUUUUCCAAAACGUUGAUACCUGAAACAAAAAAUGCAAGCCGUAAGCACAAAGCCUAGUGAGUCCCCCAAAGCAUAACCCACACACAAUCCACACAACACAUAUCAUAUUAGCUAUAAAAGCUAUCUCUACCACACACCACUCAUCAAUUAGCUAUAAAAGCUACCUCUACCACAUAAUAUAGAACAAUUAGCUACAAAGGCUACCUCUACUGAACAUCGCAUAUCCAUUAGCUAUAAAAUAUACCUCUACCACGUAUCACAUAUCAAUUAGCUAUCAAGCUAUCUCUACCAUUAGCCACAAAGGCUACCUCUACCAUUAGCCCCAAAGGCUACCUCUACCAUUAGCCACAAAGGUUAUCUCGACCGUUAGCCAUAAAGGCUACCUCUACCAUUAGCUUUAAAGCUAUCUCUACCACAUAUUAAUACAUAACAAUGCCACACACCUCUACACAGUAAGUAUACCAACUAUCAUAAAAUGGGUUGGCCUUGGUGCCUUAGACACAUUGGUAUGGUGAGGAGACUCACCUCACAUUGUAGAGCCUCCCGCAUGAAUUCCCUAGCUGCUGCCCCACCAGCUUCCCGAGCUAUCACUACCAAACAAUAUACCCAAUUAGCAGUUGGGUCCCAUACCAUAAUCCUUAAUCCAUGCAUGGGGUAAAAUGAUCAUUCUACCCCCUGGCCCAAUAUGAUCCAAACUUAGGCCCAGUCCCAAAACAAAAGCCCAACACUAGGUAGGCUUUCCAAGCCCACUAAUGGUCCAAUUUGCCAAAUUGGGCCCAAAUCCUCUAAUGGGCCUUACCUUAAGCCAAAACAUAUUCCUGGCCCAAAGCAUUUGACUUCUGAUGGUCUACUAAGGCCAAAAGGCCCAAAGUCCAUUGCCUAGCCCAACCCGAGGCCCAAAACACUCCAAGCCCAUAACUGUUGAGUAUGCGGGGCGUACCCCCGUGUACGCUAAGUGUACUGGCUGAAGGUGUUGUAUGCUACAUGUACCUGCUUGUAUGCCCAACGUACUCCUCUGUUAACCCACUUUUCCAUUAAGUGCUUAAUACUCUACUCCAGAAGCUACAAUUAUAGAUCCAAGUCUUCUUCAACGUCUUAAACCAUAAAGUUGCUUACCUAAUGGCUUUGCAUGACCCACUUAAGUUUAAACUCCAAAAACAAUAAACUACUUUGAAAGAAAUGGUCUUAACACAUGCAUGAACCGAUUAAGACCUCCAAGAUGGCAACUUUCUGCCUUAAGGACUCAUUUAACACUAAUAGUGGCAACUCUAAGCUUGAGAAUCAGAUUUCAACCAUAAAGCGCGAUCCUUGGGACCAAAAAGGUCCAAAAACCCAUCAUAACAGACCUAAACAUUUAAGAGGCAAGUUUAAGACUUUAUACCUCAAGAUGAUCUGAAAUAAAGCAACAUUCUUGGAUCUACAACUUCUCCUUUGAACCACCACCUUGCUUUGCUCUUCACCUGCUUGGAAAAUGUUAACAACACCAUAAUGCUCUCUAAUGGCCUCCAAAGCUCCAAGAACACUCAUGGGAGGAUUAGGCUUUCAUGGUGGUUGUCUAAAGAUGAAAUGGAGGCUGACCAAUGAGGCAUAUUAUUCCUUUUAUAGUGGCAUAGCUCUAAAAUUAGGGUUUAGAAACUCCGAGCAUAUGCUAGGCGUACGCCUCCAACACAUGCGUCCACUUUACAUCCCUACGAUGGGCGUACCCGAGCUUAUGCUGGGCGUACCCACCUGGCUGCCACCAUGCAUGCAUGGGCUGAAAUGCAAAGUUUUCCAUUCAGGGACCAAUUCUGCCAAUAACUUCGAAGUGCUAUAAUUCCUUCAUUCAAAGUCUGUUUCCGACGAACUUUAUACCCACGAAAAGGUGGCGAGAAGCCCUACGCUCCUAUCCACACACACAAGCCUUAAAACCUUUAUAAUAAAUACCUAGGACCCAUAAAAGACAGAAUCACUUAUACCCUAGGCCUCCAAAACCACAAUCGAAGUACUUUUCAAAACGGGGUGUUACAACUCUCCCCCACUUAAACUAGAUUUUGUCCUCGAUUGCUGAGCCAAAAACACACUCAGCAGUUCCCUGCAUCCUCCAAAGAAUACCCCGUCUAACCAACUACACUAUCCCCUUAAAUCCAUUUGAUCCAUCUGAUUGAGAACGGAUCACAGCCUGUCGCCAUUGAAUCCGACGCAAAAAGGUGAAUACUUCUAGAAUGGCUGUAGUCUUACGUCAUACCUGGUCUCAUUCGACCUACCGCUUCCUGAUUUCGGCAUCUCGUGGCUCUAUUAAGUAUAGAGCCACCUGAGACACACCAUAAUGGCUUAAGCUACCAUUAAACCAACCCGUGUAUCACCCUAGAAUCUUGUCGUCGAUGCCUUUGGAAUAGAAAUGCCACACAUCCCAUCACACUGAAACAAAAUCAUGCACGAAUUCUGAUUCGGGUUCCUAGCCAAAUCUGAAUUGUUACUCCACUCCUAUCCAGAGAUCCUCGAAUCGACAUUUGCAUAAUGUACCAUGACUUCCCGUCAUCCUUUACUCGACCGAUUAAUAGAUACUCUUAGCCGAUUCCCUAAGACUUCUAGUCUCGUGCCCGGUCCAACCACCAGGUUCUUAUGAGAUGCAAUAUCAUGGCUACUCGGUCGUAGCCCUACUGAAACAUACACUACUCAACCACAAGAUCAUGUAUCACAAGGUCCAACCCUUAGCUCAGCAGUCUCUACCGGUUCCAUCCUAAAUUCCCAUAACCAUCUGGGCUCGCCCUCAGAUAACUGAUUGGUCAAUCACCUCUGGUCCUGAUCCUAACUAAGUUUUGGCUCCCCCACAACCCUACGAACUAGCCUGCCUUAGUCCAAAUCACCUGAAAUAAUUCGUGAAAGCUACGUGUCACACGCCAAAACCAAGAACGGCGGAAACGUUCUGGGACGGAGGACGUCAUGUAAAGUAUCAUAACAAUGCAAAGUAGUAAACAAGCAUCAACAUCAUCCAUUGCAUUAGUAGUAGAGUUUUAAUACAUGUGUGUUCUUUGUAAUAUAAUAGACAUCAAAUAUGAAUGAUCAAAAUAAAAGACGAGUCUUGUCUGUGCUCCGUCUUCUCAAAACCUGUCACCGGUACCUGUCUACUGAUGACCUGAGAAUACAAGUUAUUUUGAAAGCAUAGAUCAACAUUUAAGCUGGUGAAUUCAUAAAUACUUUAGUGUCUUUGAUUGGUAAAACUGUAAAGAAAAGACUUGUAAGUGUUUGAUGAAAAAGUUUGUAUAAGUAUGAAAACCCAAGAAAAUCCCAUAUUUCAUACUAGUAUAAAAAGUAGUCUUCUACCAAGACUCGAUUGUUUUGAAGGUUUGCUUCUCUGUAUGAAUGAAGGUUUUUCCCAUGUACAACUAUUAUUAUCAAAAUAUAGUCUACCUCAUCGUUUAUGUGAAUGUGUCACAAGAUAAAAGUAAUAGGGAAAAUUAUAUAAUCAUUGAAAUCGUAUCCUUUUGUCUUAUGAUAAACACGGCGUGGUAACUUACUGAACAAUACAAUCGUGAACAUCCGUCGAUGUGCAGUUUCCCGCUGUAGCUAACAGCCGGGUGUAGGAGGGUCAGUCCCGUAUAGUAUGUAGUAGUAUCUCUUCAUAUAGUAUGUAAUACUAUCUCUUCAUAUAGUAUGUAAUAGUAUCCCUUCAUAUAAUAUGUAAUAGUAUCUCUUCAUAUAGUAUGUAAUAGUAUCUCUUCAUAUAGUAUGUAGUAUAUUUGUAUAGACUCAUGAAUGAACUGACUCUUGUGUGAUGCCUUGUACUAGGAAUAACAAGUAGUAUCUCCUAAACUAUACCUAUUAUAUUUUACUAGUAAUGUAGUUUGAAAUAUCCAAGUAUGUUUAUACACCUUUGCUACACAAAAGUGUUGCAACUGAAGUAACAACUUUCAUAUAAACACACACAUACACACAUACAUAUAUNUCUUAUCAAUACAUAUAUAUAUAUAUAUAUAUAUAUAUAUAUAUACACACUAACUACAUAAGUAUAUAGAUAUGGUUUUAACAAUAUGUAAGUUUAAAAGAGGUUUUGUAAUACAUUUGAAGGGUUUGAAAAAAUAAGUAAUAAUGACUUGAUGUCAGUUUAUAAAAUGAUUCAAAAGCAGUUUGUUUGAUAAAACAGUUUGAAAGUAUACCGAAUCCAUAUGUUUGAUAGUUAUUAAUCGCAUGUGAUUGAUAUAAUAACUAUGAUAUUCAACUUGUAUUCCCCACCAUUUAAGCAUGUAAAUGCAUUUAAAAGGUUGGUUAAUGGGGUAUGAACUCACCGAAAUCGAGUGAUGCGAACGUAAGAUCGGUAAAGGAUGCUAAGUGUCAAGUGAGGACUUGAGGACACACGGAUCCUAGUUAACAUAUAAUGACACAUAUAUGUUUACAAUUAGUGUUUAUUACAACUAAUUAAGUAACUAAACAACCUUAAGGACUAGGAAAUACUUGCACUGAGGUGUUGAACCACAUAAGGUUGCAUAUAAGGAGUGUAGGGCCUCACUUGGGAGUUUAUGGCCCAUAUGGUAAGAACCACAUGAGUUUACGGCCCAAGGACCAUUUCUUAAUGAGUUUACGGCCAUAAAAUCAUGGUACUAGGUACCUAGUUGUGUUAUAAGGUCCUACAUGUCAAUAUGAAGUGCUUUAUGAUCAAGUUUAAGCCUUAGGAAGGAAUGGUGGCACCAUUGUACCACUAUCUAGUGUUUACGGACUAUGGACCAUAUCUCCAUGAGUUUACGGCCGCAAACUCAUGGUAUUAUGUACCAUUUCAAUGUUUAACGUCCUUAGUUCAUGUUAGAAGUGUUCUAGACUUGAUUCCAAGGCUUUGGAAGGGAUUAGGGCUCAUUUGGACCCUUAAAUAGAUUUUACGGCCCAAGGAGGUUCCUUGAUCGUAAAAUCCAUUUUGAUCAUGUUUUCUUGAUGUUUUAUAAGUGUAAACUAGUUGAUUCAAGUAUAUAUCAAGCUAAGACAAGAGUACUUACAAUAUAGAAGCUUGAAAGGGGGUUUAAGGCUCAAGAACACUAGUGUGUGUUCUUCAUGAAAUGAAGAAUGCUUGAAGAUCUUAGAAAAGAGGAUGAUUUCAUGGAUGAAAUCAUGUAAGAUCACUAGAUGAUGAAGUAUAUCAAUUAAUCAAGGAAGGAAACACUUACUAAGUUGAAGAUCAAGAAGGAAAAUCGGAUAAUACUUCCUUUGAUUACCUUUGAUGUAUUUGAGAUCAACACACCCAAACUGACUCCAAAACUUCUAAAAUUUAGCAAUUGAAAGUUUGACUUUGAUUGAAUGCAGGGUUUGUUAUAAGAUAGAAAUUUCGAGUUGUCACAUCAUCGCCCCGUUAGAGGGAAUUUCGUCCCGAAAUUAGAGUUUAAGAAAAUAAUUAGUUACAAAUAACUAAGAAAAAAGAUGAGGAUAUUUUUGUUUCAUUUGAUCCUCGCGUUGCCAAGUGAAUUCAGGUCCUCACUUGGCAUUCCAACGAACCUUAACUAUCGGGAUACGACUUUGCUUUGUUUGCUUGACCUCUCGGUCCAUGAUUUCUACAGGUUCUUCCACGAAGUUGAGGCUCUCGUUGAUCUCGAACUCGUCGAGUGGGUUUUCAAGAGUCUCGUCGGAUAGACACUUUUUCAAGUUCGAGACAUGGAAAGUAGAAUGUACGUUACUGAGUUCACGCGGUAGAUUGAGUUUGUAAGCUAUAGGGUCGAUUCUGGAAAUAAUCUCGAAAGGCCCUACGUAUCUUGGAUUUAGCAUUUCAUGCUUUCCGAAGCAUAUCAAGGCCUUACAGGGUGAGACUUUCAAAAGAACGCGAUAUCCCACCUGGAGUUCCAAAGGUUUCCUUCGCUUGUCUGUGUAGCUUUUCUGUCGAUCUCUAGAGGCUUUCAAUCGUUCACAAAUCUGAACGAUCUUCUAUGUCGUUUCCCGAAUGAUCUCCGGACCUGUGAGAGUGCUAUCAGGAACUCGUCCUUUAGCUAACUGGGUGUCACCCACCUCAGCCCAGCACAGAGGGGAUCUGCACUUUCGGCUAUAGAGGGCUUCGAAUGGAGCAGCCUUUAUGCUCGUGUGGUAACUAUUGUUGUAGGAAAAUUCGACAAGGGGUAAAUGAGUAUCCCAUGCUUUCUCGAAGUCAAUCACACAGGCUCUCAACAUGUCUUCCAAGGCUUGGAUAGUUCUCUCACUUUGUCCCUCGGUCUGUGGAUGGUAGGUUGUACUCAUAUCCAGCCUCGUUCCAAGGGAACUUUGUAGCGACUGGCAUAACCUCGAAGUGAAUCUACUAUAUCUAUCGGAGAUAAUGGAUAUGGGAACACCAUGCAGUCAAACGAUCUCCCUAAUGUAUGUCCUUGUUAGUUUCUCCAUCUUGUCAGUCUCUUUGAUUGGUAGGAAAUGCGUGGAUUUGGUCAAUCUGUCGACGAUGACCCAAAUGGUAUCAAGUCCACCCGUUGUCUUGGGCAACUUGAUUAUGAAGUCCAUAGUAAUUCGCACCCAUUUCCAUUCUGGUAUCUCCGGUUUCUGAAGUAAACCUGAUGGUUUAUGGUAUUCGAACUUAACCUUUACGCAAGUAAGGCAUUUACUCACGAAGGUAGCAAUCUCUGCUUUCAUGUUAGGCCACCAUUAUAACUUUUUAAGAUCCAGAUACAUCUUAUCUGAACCUAGGUAUACGGAAUACCGAGUGUUGUGCGCCUCUGUCAUGACCAAGUCUCUGAAGCCACCGAGUUUUGGUGUCCAGAUUCGGUCCAUGAGACUCCAAAAGUUCUAAAAUUUAGCAAUUGAAAGUUUGACUUUGAUCGAAUGCAGGGUUUGUUAUAAGAUUGAAAUUUCGAUUUGUCAAAUCAUCCCCCCGUUAGAGGGAAUUUCGUCCCGAAAUUAGAGUUUAAGCAAAUAAUUAGUUACAAAUAACUAAGCAAAAAGAUGAGGAUAUUUCAGUUUCAUUUGAUCCGCGCGUUCCCAAGUGAAUUCAGGUCCUUGCUUCGCGUUCCAACGAACCUUCACGAUCGGGAUAUGACUUUGCUUUGUUUGCUUGACCUCUCGGUCGAUGAUCUCUACAGGUUCUUCCACGAAGUUGAGGCUCUUGUUGAUCUCGAUGUCGUCGAGUGGGAUUUUAAGAGUCUCAUCGGACAGACACUUUUUCAAGUUCGAGACGUGGAAAGUAAAAUGUACGUUACUGAGUUCACGCGGUAGAUUGAGUUUGCAAGCUAGAUGUCCGAUUCUGGCAAGAAUAUCGAAAGGCCCUAUGUAUCUUGGAUUUAGCUUUCCACGCUUUCCGAAGCAUAUCAAGCCCUUCUAGGGUGAGACUUUCAAAAGAACGUGGUCUCCCACCUGGAAUUCCAAAGGUUUCCUUCGCUUGUCUGUGUAGCUUUUCUGUCGAUCUCUAGAGGCUUUCAAUCGUUCACAAAUCUGAACGAUCUUCUAUGUCGUUUCCUGAACGAUCUCCGGACCUGUGAGAGUGCUAUUAGGAACUCGUCCUUUAGCUAACUGGGUGUCACCCACCUCAGCCCAGCACAGAGGGGAUCUGCACUUUCGGCCAUAGAGGACUUCGAAUGGAGAAGCCUUUAUGCUCGUGUGGUAACUAUUGUUGUAGGAAAAUUCGACAAGGGGUAAAUGAGUAUCCCAUGCUUUUCCGAAGUCAAUCACAUAGGCUCUCAGCAUAUCUUCCAAGGUUUGGAUAGUUCUCUCACUUUGUCCAUCAGUCUGUGGAUGGUAGGUUGUACUCAUGUCCAACCUCGUUCCAAGGGAACUUUGUAGCGACUGCCAGAACCUCGAAGUGAAUGUACUAUCUCUAUCGGAGAUAAUGGAUAUGGGAACACCAUGGAGUCGUACGAUCUACCUAAUGUAUGUCCUUGUUAGUUUCUCCGUCUUUUCAGUCUCUUUGAUUGGUAGGAAAUGCGCGGAUUUGGUCAAUCUAUCGACGAUGACCCAAAUGGUAUCAAGUCCACCCGUUGUCUUGGGCAACUUGGUUAUGAAGUCCAUAGUAAUCGGCUCCCAUUUCCAUUCUGGUAUCUCUAGUUGCUGAAGUAAACCUGAUGGUUUCUGGUAUUCGACCUUAACCUUUGCGCAAGUAAGGCAUUUACUCACAAAGGUAGCAAUCUCUGCUUUCAUGUUAGGCUACCAGUAUAAGUUUUUACGAUCCAUAUACAUCUUAUCUGAACCUGGGUGUAUGGAAUAGUGAGUGUUGUGCGUCUCGGUCAUGACCAAGGCGCACAAGCCACCGUGUUUCGGUGUCCAGAUUUGGUCCAUGAGACAUAAUGCUCUGCCACCCUUGACUUCUAGGUUCUUAUCCAUCCCUCUUAGGGAUUCACCCACCACAUUUUCAAGUUUCAAAGCGUCGAGUUGAGCCUCCUUAAUUUGUGUGGACAAGUGUGAAUGGAUAGUCAUAGUAAAUGAUAUGACUCUAUGACCAGAGUACUGUUUCCGACUUAGGGCGUCAACUACUACGUUGGCCUAGCCGGGAUGAUAACGAACUUCGCAUUGGUAAUCAUUGCGUAGCUCGACCUACCUUCGUUGUCUCACGUUGAGCUCCUUCUGUUCAAAGAUGUGUUGGAGGCUUUUGUGGUCUGUAAAGAUAGUGCUUUUCGUACCGUACAGAUAGUGUCUCCAAAUCUUCACAGUUCUCAACAGCCUUAAUUUUGGAAGGGUCCACCUGUAUUCCCUUUCGCUAACGACGUGGCCCAAAAAUUAGACUCUUCGAAUCCAAAACUCGCACUUGGAGAACUUCGCAUAGAGCUUCUCCGAUCGUAAAGUUUCUAAAAAUUUUCGUAGGUGUUGACUAUGCUCCUCCUUACUUCAGGAGUAGAUAAGUAUGUCAUCGAUGAAGACGAUAACGAACUGAUCCAAGUAAGGACGGAACACCCUAUUCAUCAAGUCCAUGAAUACAGCUGGUGUGUUGGUUAAUCCGAACGGUAUCACUACAAACUCGUAGUUUCCAUAACGAGUUCGGAAAGCUGUCUUGGGGACAUCUUCCUCUAGCACUCGUAACUGGUGAUACCUGGAUCUUAGAUCUAUCUUUGAGAAGUAGUUUGCUCCUUGAAGUUGAUCAAAUAAGUCGUUGAUACGGGGUAGAGGGUAACAACUCUUGAUAGUAAGUUUGUUCAGUUCUCUGUAAUCAAUGCACAUACGGAACGAUCCAUCUUUCUUCUUUACAAACAAGACCGGUGCUCCCCAAGGUGAGAAGCUUGGCCUAAUGAAUCCCUUCUUGAGAAGUUCGUUAAGCUGACCGGAAAGUUCCUGCAUCUCUGCUGGUGCCAGUCGAUGUGGAGAUUUGGCUACUGGAGUAGCCCCUGGCACUCAGUCGAUUCUGAACUCGACUUGACGUUGUGGUGGUAAUCAUGGUAGUUCUUCUGGAAAGAUGUCGGGAAAGUCGCAUACUUCAGGAAUGUUCUGCAUGUCCUUCACUUCUUGACUCUUAUUGACGAUGUGUGCGAGGAAUGCAUGAUUUUCCUUUUGCAAGCACUUCUGAGCUUGGAUACAUGAGAUGAUACGAAGGUUCGUGUUAGGUUUGUCACCGUAGAUAACUAGGGUUUCGUUGUUAGGGAGGUUAAGACAAACUGCUUUCUCAAAGCACAUGAUGUCGGCGCAAAGACGACUUAACCAAUCCAUACCAAUUAUGGCGUUGAAACUUUUAAUUGGGACCGGCAUGAGGUCGAUUGGGAAAGAAUGACCAUCUAGAGUUAGAGUACAACCUACAUAUAUGCAGUUAGUACUUUCCGUUUUCCCGUUUUCCAUUUCUAUAGUGAAUGAUUCCUCUAGUGUACGGGGUUUUUGUUUAAGUAAGUGUGCAAAUUUCUGAUUUACAAAACUUUUUUCUGCUCCACUAUCGAAGAGUAUGCAUGCAUAUGAAUUAUCGAGGAGAAACGUACUAGUAACUAUCGUAGGAUCAACUACGGCUUCCUCAUGGUCCAUAGCCAAAACUCGUCCCACUCCGCCAAUAUUCGCUGUCUUCGGGCAGUUUCUUUUGUAGUGACCCAGCUCGCCACAACCGUAGCAAGCUAGGCUCACACCAGCAUUGGGAAUUUGAGUGAUCGGCUUUGCGGGAGUCUUGCAGAAAUGGGCAGUAUGCCCCUUUCUGUUGCAGUUAGAGCACUACAUCUACCGACAAGGUUAGUUGUGGUGGAAGUUGCAUUUGUUGCACUUCGGAAGGUUACCCACAUAAGGCUUUGCUGGGAAGGGGUUAGUAGGAAUAGCAGUAGGUACAAUAGCAACAUUUACUGUAACUAGUUUUUGUUUCUUUGAGGAUUCUUGUGAAGACCCUCCUUUCCUCUUGUUACAACCUUUCUUCCUGUUGUUGUUAUUUCCCUUUUGUUGAUCGGUUGUAGCAAUUGUGACAACCUGAUAUUUCGAGACAAUGUAAUGCAACACCAGUCAAAUUUAGGUCAAAAUAUAACUUUCCUAAAAUCUUAUUUGGGUUAAAUAAAGUGGAAGGAAUCGUAACAAGGGUUUCAUACAUAUAAAGAACACUAAAAGCCGAGUUAUAACGAAGAAGUUAUAACCAUUCUAAGAUUCUCGACAAAACAGACAAUACGGAUAGAUCUGACUUCGUAUGAGGAAGUUAUGAUUUUUCCAAGAUCCGGAUAUAACAGUAGACAGCUAAAAACUCGAAAUAGAGAUCGAGAGACUUUUGGCCGAAGCAACCUAAAUAAGAAUCGAAGGUCUCAACCAAAGUAGCGCAACGGUAAAAAGUAUGGCAAAAACGGACGCCGGAUGAAGAAGUUAUGGAUUUUUAACGGACUUUUCUAGUCCCGGCCUGUUAAAAAUAAAUAAUUCAAAAUAAAUUCAAAAUUAGCCGACAAAGUCUAAAGGAGUGUUGUAGAGUAUAUUCUCACCUAUGCGUGCAUAUAAAGAACGUUGAAAACGGAGCUCGUACGCGAAAGUUAUGGAUUUUACAAGUUUGAGGUUCAAAAUUCGAGGCUGUCAGGUCUGUCACGACGUGACACAGUUGGCCGUGACCCGACAAGUGACUAAGGGCAUCCCAUCAAUGGAAGAGGAUAAGAUUUUGCUCAGCAUGACGUGAUUACCCUGAAAAGUCAUCCCGAAGCCCCGGUUUUCACACUCAUGUUCCGAAGGAAGGUUCUACACUACCGAGAUUCCUGAGAAUCCCGAGAAAAUUAACUCUUCCAAGUCGAAGUUCUGCUCGAUUAUCAUCUCGCUUUCUCCCAAUCAAUCAAGUUAGUUCAUACCCCUAAAUUAACCUUUUAAAUGUUUUUAAAUGUUUAUAAAUUCUUUAUGGGGGGUACAAGUUGAAUCAUGUUUAGUUCUUAUGUCUAGCAUGCAAAUGGAUUUACUAUAUGUUAANGUUUUUAAAUGUUUAUAAAUUCUUUUAUUGGGGGGGGGGGGAUACAAGUUGAAUAAUGCUAGUUAUUAUAUCAAUCACAUGUGAUUAAUAACUAGCAUACAAAUGGAUUUACUAUACGGUUAGCUAUUUUACCAAACAUAUUACUUCAAAUGACUUCUCAAACGUCUUUACAUGUUAAAACUCUUUAUCAAACUAUCUUACAUACUAUAUGUUUCCUUUCGAACUCUGUUACAAUUGUGUUUCAAACAAAGUUUUUCCUUAUACUUAAACUGUCUUAUCAAACAAAAUACUUUCAGUCAUUUUAUAAACUGACAUCAGGUCAUCGUUUCUUAGUAUUAAACUUUCAAUGGUUUUACAAAACUUUUUUUACGCUUUUUAUAUUGUCAAAUGUAUGCCUACAUAUGUAUAGUUAUAUAAAUAAUGUUUAAAGGACAUAGGACGGUUAGCUCGCUUUAUUUCCUUUUCCUCGUUGGGAUUUGGCCUCAGGGCAUCGAAUGCUCGUCCGAAUGUCGUCUAAACAUUAUUUAUAUAUAAUGUAUACAUAUAUAGUUAUAAAGGUUCCAUUAUUCGGUUCAACACCUUUGGGUAGCAAAGGUAUACAUCCGGUUAUACUCGUACAUUACUAGUAACUAUGAUAGGUAUAUGUGACAUCNNNNNNNNNNNNNNNNNNNNNNNNNNNNNNNNNNNNNNNNNNNNNNNNNNNNNNNNNNNNNNNNNNNNNNNNNNNNNNNNNNNNNNNNNNNNNNNNNNNNACCCUAAUAGCAUGGAUUGCUUGAUCCAUUUUUGUCAUUCUUCGAGCUAGACUAUCAAACUUUGCUAUCACCGCCGCCAUGCUAUCAUUUGCCGCGUUUACUACCCCUCGACUUACUUCGUUUCUCGGAUUGUGGUAUUCUCUAGAGUGCUUAGAGAAUUCUUCAAUUAAUUCUUUAAUUACCGAGGGCGCCUUCUUUGUGAGCGGGCCUUGAGAAUCAAGCAAUUGCCUUGUGGUGACAUUGACUCCAUCAUAGAAGAUGGAGACCUCUUGUUGGCUAUUAAGGUCAUGGUGUGGGCAAUUUCUAAGUAGGCUCUUGUAUCUUUCCCAAGCUUCAUAAAGAGAUUCUCCNGGCAAUGGCUUUCUUUAGCUUGGCUAUCUUGGAGGGCGGGCAGAAAUGGUCUAUGAACUCUUCUUUCAUCUUGGCCCAUGUGGUGACCGAUCCGGGAGGAAGUGACUUUAACCAAUCUUUUGCAGCUCCUUUAAAUGUGACAGGAAGCAUGCGAAGAAGCUGGGUCUCGCGUGGAACAUUCGGGACGUUGAAGUAAUCGGCCACAUCAUUCACUUCGUCCAAGUGCUUGUAAGCGUCUUCGUGAUCCUUCCCGUAAAAAGGAAUCUCCUUGAGUUGGGCGAGAAUAUGGCCUUUUAGUUCGAAAGUGGCGGUCGCAGGAAUUGCGGGUUGCACAAGUCCCGGCCCGGUGUCAUCACGCAUCCUUUUCUUCCAUUCCCCCAUGGGGACUUCAUAAAUGUUAGCCAUUGUGAUAGCUAAGUCUUCUUCAGAAUCGGUUUCGUGCUCGGAAGUAUGCUCUUCUUCUUCCUAGGUCUCGUACUCGAUAUCUUCUUGAAUUGGUUCUUCAACUGUCAAUGAGGCACUGGAUGCUCCUGAUUUGCUGCUCUUCUUCUUGCUGAAAAUGGAUUUUAAGUUUUUGAGUGGUGAGUUCUUUGAAGAUGUGGUUUCUCCAACGACUUUUCCUUUGCUUCUUCUUAGUGCGGAUUCCGGGUCUUCCAAAGGAGGUACCAGAGGUGUAUCAGAUCCUCGGGUCAUGAAACAACUGAAAAAAACGAAACAAAAGAAACGAAACGCGUAAAAAGAACAAAAACGGAAUAAAAAAAUAAAGCUGAAACAGCGAUGUACUCGCCGAGUCGUCACGAAUGCACUCGGCGAGUUCAAAGCAAAAACUAAAAAAAAUUUCUAGUUAUUCUUAAAAACAGAAUUUUAUUCAAACUAAUUCUAUUUACUGAAUUACUUUGUAAAUAACUUUGUGUAAGAUAAAUCCCACNNNNNNNNNNNNNNNNNNNNNNNNNNNNNNNNNNNNNNNNNNNNNNNNNNNNNNNNNNNNNNNNNNNNNNNNNNNNNNNNNNNNNNNNNNNNNNNNNNNNUUUGCAAGAGACUCGCCGAGUCUGACCACGACUCGACGAGUCCAUCUGGAUUUCAGAAAAAGUUUGGCUUCGCGACCAGACUUGCCGAGUCUGACCCCGACUCGACGAGUCGAUAUUAUUUACAGAAAAAAAUAAUUUCGAAAUUACUUUUACAACUAGUAACUAGGGUUUUAACCCUAAGAAUCAGUUUUUCACAUACACACUCGCCGGGCGCCUCACACUAAAGUUCCUCUCAAGCAUUCAUCUUUGUUCUUCAAGUUUUCUUCAAAUUUCUCAAGUUCAAUCUCAAAAGGUAACAAAUUUCUUCUUGUUUUCUGUUAAGAACGUGAUUAUAAGGCCAUCUAUGGUAACAAUUGCAUGAAAAACCCGUUUUUGAAAAGUAGUAAAUUUCUAGGGUUUUGAUUUUUUCAUGAAUUAUGUUGUUUUGACUGCGUAUUCUGGCCUUAAUACCUUAAUAGUAAGUGCCUAGACAAAACCCUUGACGAAAUUUCCAGGUUUCAUGGCCUAGUUUUCAUCGACCUGCCGACUGACUCGUGCAGUUCGCGCGACUCGUCGAGUCAUGCCUGGACUUGACGAGUCGAGUCGGGAAGCAUAUGCGAGAUUUUUUUUAAUUAUAUUCUGUGUUUUCUGGGUUUUGUGUAUUUGUUUUGCAGAAAUCAUGUUCAGAAGGGGGCAAAGUUCCAGUGGCAACCAAGGGGAUUUUCCAUGGCUAAACUUCCCACAAAUCGAGUCCACUUCGACAUUGCGGAAAUGGAAGUAGAAGCUGGCUGAUAUCAAGAAGAAAGAGGUCUAUGUGCCCAACCGGAUAGAUUGGGAUUGGCGGCAGAAUGUUCGUUAUGAGGAGGAGUUAGCUCUUUAUCUCUUGAAGGAGUUUCACCAUUAAGGCGAAACAAUGGUGUGUGACGGGUGGAGCCGGGUCUUCCGUAUUCAAGAGUCGGUUUAUUUGGAGCUUUGUUUGGAGUUUUUCUCCACGGUAUCUUUCACCGGGGGAGUGGAUGCUUAUCACCCGUCCAGCUUCAGUUUCUGUCUUGGGGGAGAAUUUCAUCAAUGCUCUAUGGUGGAUCUUGCCUGUCGAUUAGGGGUUUAUGAUCAGCCCUUGGUCUCAACACCCAUCUUUCGGGCCUUUUUGGCACAAACCCAUAUGGUGUUUCCCGAGGGAGUGACGAGUACGGGCUGGUGGAAUACAAUUGGUAACAAAGUCUAUAUCCCAAAGUCGGAACAGGAAGGGAGCAUUCGAUCCCCAACACACCGCCUCAUACACCGCCUCAUUUCAUCCACAAUCAAUCAACAAAAGGAUGAUAAAAAGGUUUCCAACCUUGACGUUUUCUAUUUAUGGAGCAUCAUUACACCCGGCGUUUUUUGCAACAUUCCUUGGUGUCUAGCUUCAUAUCUCUCGGAGGGUGCGGUCAAGGAUCGAAAAACUUCCCGAAUUAAUGGUGGGAUGUUUGUCACCCGGUUGGCCAAUUCAUUCGGGUUGAUGAACCGCGGUGCGUGGAACUUCAUGACGUUGAUCCCUAUACCUCCGUUCAAUCCAAUUCUUUUCCGGAGAGAGAGGAUUAUUGAAGAUUAUGGUGGUGGCCAUUAUGCCAUCCUGAAUGAUGAUCCGGUUGUUGGUCCCGAAGCACCGNNNNNNNNNNNNNNNNNNNNNNNNNNNNNNNNNNNNNNNNNNNNNNNNNNNNNNNNNNNNNNNNNNNNNNNNNNNNNNNNNNNNNNNNNNNNNNNNNNNNCUAUACUAAUACAUUACAUGUUACAUGAAUACAUUUACAUAUAUAUGCUUACAUGCAUACGUUUACAUAGAUACGCUUACAUGAGUACAUUUACAUAGAUACGCUUACAUGAAUAUGUUUACAUAGAUACGCUUAUAUGAGUACAUUUACAUAGAUACGCUUACAUGAAUACGUUUACAUAGAUACGUUUACAUUGAUACGUUUACAGAGAUACGCUUACAUGAACACGUCUAAAUUAAUACGUUUAAUAGAUACUAUUACAUAGGAUCUGUUACAAAUGUUUCAGGACUUACCGUUCCACACCCAAAGCUGUUAGCUACAGUAGGGAAAAGGAGCGUCGACGGGUGUCCACGGUUGUACUGUUCGGCGAGUUUCCACACCGUGAAUAUCCUAAUGAAAAAGAAUACAUCUUUAGUUAUUAUAUUAUUCUCCUUCCUUUAUUUUGUGACACAGUCACAUGAACGACGAGGUAUGAUAUAUUUGAUAUAGAUAAACUAUUUUUCCUUAUUACCUUUAUAUUGUGACUCAUACUCAUAAUCGACGAGCUAGACUAUAACUUUUAUAAUAAUAUUUAAACAGGGAAAAACCGUCACAUUUACAGUGAUGCUUUCUUACAACACAGUCGGGUCUUGGUAGAAGACUACUUUCAUACUAGUAGGAAAUAUAGGAUUUUCUAGGGUUUUCAAACGUUUACAGUUACUUACAAAAAUUUUCAUACUUUUCUCCAAAUGUUUACAAGUCUUUACUUUACAGUAUUUACAAAUCAAAGACACAUUAAUACUUAUGAAUUCACCAGCUUUAUUGCUGAUACUCGCUUUCAAAAUAACUUGUAUUCUCAGGUCACAAAUAGACAGGUACGACGACCAAGUUUUGUGAAGACGGAGAAAUC